AGUAAGGGAAAAAGAAAAACUGAACCUGAACCAAGUAUAGUAAUUAUACUAGAUAUACCAGUUGAAAAUGAAAAAGAUCAAAAUGUACAAUUGAUGGAAUUAAUUGACGAAAUGCGUAGGGAAAUUGCAGAAAUAAAGCAAAUUCAAAAAGAAAAAGAAAAAAUAAAUAUGAUAGAAAAAGAAGAACAAAAACUAGAUCCAGACAAUUAUUAUUUACUAUAAUUGUUCUUCUAAAACUUUCAUUUUUUGUGUUUCUAAAUAUGUACUAUAUUGUGGUGUAUCUAAUAUAGUUUCUGGUCUCCUAUAUGGUUCUUGUACUUCUUUCCUAGUAUUAUUAUAUACUAGUCCUAAAUUAUUAUUUAUAAAAUAAGUAUUUUCUAAGAUUUUGCUCAUAGCUUCUUGUUGAGAUAAUCUUUCUUGUUCUUUUUUUUUUAUGUAAAUAAAUUCGUCAAAAGGCAUAGUUCUUCCUCUUAUCAUAUUAAUUGUAUAACUUGUUCCUGGUAUAAUUGGUCCUUGUUGUUGUUUUUUAAGAUUUUUUAUUUCUAAUGGUAAUUCUCUAAUUAUUUUUAAUACUUCGUUGCUCUUCUGAUCCUGUUCUUGUUUUAGUUUUCAUAUUUUGUAGUUUAGGGACUGAUCUAAUUCUUGUAUGUAUUUUUUCCGAUCUUCAAGUUUUUCAUCAAUAAUUCGUUUAGCUUCAUUACUUAAUAUUUCUUUAUCUUUCCCUGAAAUGUAAUCUUUUUGUAAUAUUUCCUUAUCUUUAUUUGUUAAUCUACCAAAUUUAUUCCAUAAUAAUUUAUUUGUCCAAUUUAAUUGUCUAUGUUCAGCAAAUCCUGCAUCUUCAGAUACUACAUAAGGUAUAAAUGCUGCAUGUGUAUAUGGUGGAUAUUUAAGAUAUGAAUCUAUAGGUAAUCUAUUUUCAUUUACUUUAUAUGUAUGUUGUUCAAGAUCUAAAUUCUCAAAAUCUUUGCUUUCCAUUAUAACUUUUUCUUUACUAGCUCUGAUACCAAUAUGGGGGUUAUAAAUGCAGAAACAAAGGAUCAAAACAAAAUAAACUAAAACCAGCUAAAAACUAAAACUUAAACAAAUAAAAUUAAACUAUCUUAUAAUCUAAGUGCGCAAAAAAGAAAGGCUUUUAUCAAUAAUUUGAAUUAUUUUCUUUCUUAUACUACUCUAAGAUUUCUCUAAUUUAUCUAUGAGUUUAUAGACAAAAUAUCCGGACCUCAUUCAAAUAAUCUGAACCUUAAUUUUCCCGACAAAUGCUAUCUCUCCUGGAAUUUACGCCAACAUGGGUACUUUCCUUGGUUCAUAAGAUUUAUAUAGAGAUUUAGUGGAUAUUGAUAGUUUAGAACUCAUCUUGAUUAAUUCUAGUAUAACCUUAUUUCGUAUAAGAAAGAAAAUAAAGUAAACUACUCAGCCAUAUAUAAUAUAAACAUCAUAAUUUUAUUCAUAAAAACAUAUAGUCAUACAAAAGAAAACUUACAAUACCGCAGAAACUUAAAAUUUUUUAGCUAUUCUAGAGGCUUUGCUCUAAUUUCCAGUGAUCUCUAGUGAUCCCCAAUGAUGCCUCUUACAGGAAAAUCUAUUCUAUAUAUAGAAAGAAAAAUAAACUAAAAACUAUAGAGGUUUGGAGUCCGUGACUGUUGGCCAUACAGCUGUCCUCCAUUAUUUUCUUCAUACCUUAUCUUUUACUUUUCUUUGCCGACACUUGCUUUAUUCGGUUGUCUUCUUUUGGUCCACUUCUUUCAUCUUUAUGUCUUUGUCGCUUAUUUCGUCAUUGCUUACGACUUCUUCCAUUAUGUCGUCAUUGCUAAUGUUUGGUUCUUCUGGUAGAAUUGGUUUUGAGAAUUCUACUUCCUUUCCUUUGCUGCAUAUACUGCAACUAUGUUUGAGGUUGAUGUUCCUUCUGGCUAUUUUACAUAAUAUAACUAAUGUUGCCUGUGUGAUACAAGGGUUUUGGAUUGUGCAUUUUGGAGUAUUGAUUUCUGGACUGAUCAAUUUCUUUUGCCAUUCUUUCGAUAUUUUCAUAAUUUGUGUAUUUUUUGAAUUGCUGGGACUGUAAAUAAUUCUAUUGUUAUUGUUCGUAUAUAUCCAUAUUCUUCCUUCCAUAACUCUUAAUUCUGAUGCUAUGUUUAGCAUCUGUAUUGCUUUCUUCUGUUGUAUCAUUGAUCUGAUAUCUUCUAUAUUUUUCUGAAAAUAUACAUCUUCAUAGCUAAUUUUUUGAUAUGUAAUACCAAAUUUAAUUGCUUCAAUUUUUGGUAUUAUAUUUCCCUUUGCAUGUGGUUCUGCAAAUGUGAAAUAUAUUCUCAUAUAUGUAAGUGCUGCUUUACUAAUUUGUCUGAAUCUUGUAUAUGCUGUUUGUAACUCUUCAUCAAAGAUUUUCAUCUGUGUUGGAUCUUCUAUAUAGUAUACAUGUAAUAAUCCAUAUUCAUAUGUUGAUUUUACUAAAUCUUGAUUUGUAUGUUUGUCAGCAACUAAUUUAUUAUAAUCAGUUACUGAAUAUAACUCAUCAAUCUCCAUAUGUUUAUUAUUCAAGUAGUUCAUAGUGAUGAUUAAAUACUCAAUGUAUUUUCCACAUAUAUCUUCUUUUUCAAGUAUUUCUAUUUUCUUUUUUCCCUCUUUAACAACCUUUUUCCAUGGUUGUUCUUGUUUUGUUGCAAUUUUGUCUUCUUUUUUCUCAUCUUUUCCAUAUUUCAUGAUUUUUGCUCUUGCUGCAAGAUGUAUCUCAUCUUGUCUUUGUUUUUCUAUUUGUUCUUUUUCUAUUUUUUCUUUCUCAAGUAUUUCAACUUUAUCUGUCAAUUGAUCUACUUUCGUACUUAAUUUUUUCAUUUCUUCAAGUAGUUAUUGCAUGAUGUACUCCAUACCUGCUCAAAUAAUCUGCAACAAUGUUAAUUUUUCCAUCAAUAAUUUCAAUAUCGAAAUCAUAAAUAGCUAUUUUUGCCAAUAUAUUUCUUAUAUUUCUCUUUCAAUUGAUUUUUUAUCUUUGCUAUUUUUAUCCAAUAAUAUACCUGUGAAUUAUCUGUUCUUACUAAUCUUUUACCUUCGGUGGUAAAUAUACUAUAAUGUUGUAAUCCUCUAUAAACUGCAAUUAAUUCCUUUCUAUUAAUAUCAUAUUAUAAUUCAUUCUUUUUGAAAGUUCCUGAAUUAUAUCGACAUAAAUAUUCGAUUUUUGAAUUUUUUGAUUUGUAUUUUAGGCAAUUUUCAUAAUUUUCUUUGCUUGCAUCUACUUUUAUUAUCCAAUUCAUAUCUUCUAUUGUUAUUGGAUAUUUCAUUUCUAUAAUUUUGUUUUUACAAUAAUUUUUUAUUAUUCUAAAAUUUUCCUCGUCUUGUUUUGUCCAUAUUCAUAUUUCUUCAUCUCUUAUUUUUAAUUUUUUCCGUAUGGAUUGUAGUAAUUGUGCUAGUUGUGGUAUAAAUCUUCUUAUUUGAUUUAGUAAUCCUAAUAUUGAUUGUAACUCCUUUUUACUUUUAAUUUUUUCAUGUUUUUUCAAUAUUUUAUCUAUUAUAUGUUCUAAGUAUUUUUACUCCUCCUUGGUCAAUUUUUACUCCAAGAAAUUCUAUUUUUUCUUUUCCUAAUUCUACUUUUUUUUUACUAAGUCUUUUGCCAUUUUGUAUUAUUAGUUUCUUAAAUUGUUCCAAAUGUUCUAUAUGUUCUUCAAUGGUUUUAUGCAUAAAAUAUUAAUUAUAAUCUACUUCUUAAAUACUUUUUCAACUAGUUUUAGUAAGUCAAUAAUUUAAAAGUAGAUGUAAAUAUAUAAUUAGAUUUGAGCCUUUAAGUUAUAAUAUCUGUCCAUUAAUUGCUAAUUAAAUAAUCCAACAUCCAAUAUAAGUUCAUAAAACCUGAACUUUUCACUCUUCAUCUCACUUUUAGUUUCAAAAGAGUUUUCCGCUCCUCAUUUUUUCAUUAGCACAUGAGUGAAAACAUAUUUGAUCUAAUCUUUGAUCACAAUAAAAUUGCAAAAACUAAAGAUUAUAAAAAAAACUGAAAAAAUCAAAAAACCCAAAAAAAAAUGACUAAAACCUAAACCGAAAAAACCAAUUUUAUAUUGGUUUGAUUUGAUUUAUAGUUUUAAUAAACCGACAUUAUUGGUUUAGUUUUUUUUUAAUAAAAAUCGAACCAACCCGACCCAUGUACACCCCUAAAGACAAGGAUGAGUGAAAUCAUACUUGUGAAAUUCUGUUCUCGACAAGAUGGUAGAGCCACUUGGAGAUCCAUCCAUGGUUCCACAAAAUUGAUCCAAAAAAAAAAGAAAAAAUCCACAAAAUUGAUAAAAAAUGUGAGGUUAACGGUAACACCAGCAGAACAACCAACACAUUAAUGAUAAUACCAGCCACCAAUAUGCUCCGAAAUGCCAGCAACUAGGCAACGAAAAACUUAUUAGUCACUAGAGUAAGGAAAAUACCAGACACUUUCGCAACUGGAAAGAGAAACAACAUUCACAAAACGUCCAUAUAGAGAUGAUCGGAAAAAAAUGUUCGAUUAACCGUCAAAAAGGAUCGCUGAUUGCGCGAGACAGCUUGAAACUCCAUCAUAAAUCUACAAAACAAGCUUGAAAUUCCACUGCAAUCUCCAAAACGAGCUUGAAAUUCCACCACAAAUCUCCAAACCAAAAAAAAACCCAAAGUUUGAAAAUCUCCGCCAAAUCAAAAACUGCUAACGUCGAGUUGUGUAGAAAACUCAGAUCUAUCGAGAACCUGACUCUAAUACCAUAUUAAUGCUCACAAAUCAAAAUGAAAGCUUGAAAUCAGUGAAGCAUCGUAAAUAUUUUAGAGAGAGAAAGUAGAGAGAAGAAGGAGCACAUUUCUAAAUAACUGAGUAUGGAAAAUGAACUCUCUAGAACACCCAAAUAUCUCUCCAACUUGCUUGGUGGGGUGGGGGGUUAGAGAUUAGUUAGUAGUUAUCAGAUUUGGGCCACUUAACAUUUAUUUAUAGGCUAGAUAUUGGGCUUUUCAAUAUGUAUGUAAUAUAUAGUAGUAUAAAUAACAUAAAUAUCAAUCUUUUAAAAGUAAUUACACUCUCUCACUUUCUUAAUUAUUUUACUCUCUCUCCCUACUAAUAUACAUAACAUAGCUGAUAUAUAUAUAGCAUUUUAUGUAUAUGUUGAAAUUUUUGUAAUAUAUUUAGGGAGUUGAGAUUUUUUAUAAUAUUGAAAACAUAAGUUGUGUAUUUGUGUAAUUUUUAGUAUAUAGUACUCAGAUACUUGGGUGUUCUAGAGAGUUCAUUUUCCAUACUCAGAUAAUAAGAAAUGUGCUCCUUCUUCUCUCUACUUUAUUCAUGUUGCUUCACUGAUUUCAUCCUUUCAUUCUGUUUUUGUGAGUAUUAACAGUUUACCCACAUAGUUAACCUCUCAUACCGGCCUCCUUAUCCGAAUAUUUGUGCAUCUCCCAUUCACAAGUUUAAAUCAUUCCAUCUCGCCUUCCUCAUCUUCUCCACCAUAAAGGGCAUUCCCACCUUAUCCUGGAUAUAACCGUUCUUUAUCUCAUCUCUCCUACUACACAAACACGUCUAUCUUCUCCUCAUUAUAAGGCAUCUGUGCAUCGCUCCCUUCACACAUCUGAAUUAUUUGCCUUGCCUCCCCGAAUAUCUUAUCUACCGCGAAGGAAACUUCGAACUUAAUAUAAACAUCUCCAUUUUCUAAUUACAUUUCUUUUGUUAUGCCUACACAUCUAUCUCCGUCGCAUAUGAAAAUUUUUGUUUAUAAAUAACAUACAAGAUAGGAGUAAUGUAAAUCCCCAACACUCAGGUACUAUAACUUGGAUUAAUAUCCCCAACAUUGGUGGUAGCAAGUCCUUUAAAAGAAUUUAGCUUCUUUACUGGGGUAGUCAAAAUUCAUUUAAAUAACUAGAUUAUUUAUAAAGUAAUUAGAAGUAAACUCCUAUGCUAAUAUAAUUUAAUGGUAUAUAAUUUUAAACUAAAUUAAUAAACCUCUAAAGUCAAGUGUGUGAUGAAUUUUUGAAAACUUUGUUUUAAUAAGUUGAAACAGUAAAAAAAUAAUUUUAGCAAAGAGAUUUGAAAUAAAAUAUGCGAAUAGAAUAGUUUCUCUUCAAAAUAGAAUUUUUUGCAUUUUGUUCUAAAAAUACAUUGGACUAUAAUAGGCCACCAUGAGGAGCCCAACUAUUUUAGUCCAAUUCGACAAUUCAGACUUGACCAUAAUACAAUCAACAUAAAGCUCUCACAAUUUCUAUCAAAUUGGAGAUUAAUGUACGUACCUUAACCACUACUUGGUGUCUAAUUAAAGACUCCUGCAUAUUAUUUUUCACCAACAAAAGACAUUACAUAUAAAAUAACUAAGAAUCCUAAUUGCUACAUUAUUUUUAUAAAGACAAAACUUGACCUUUUUCACUUUAAUCAGAAGUUUGAAAGCAUGUGGUUUCCUCCUUAAGAACUUCUUCUUGUUGAUGUUCAACAACAUUUCCUCCAGAUUGCCAGAUGUUGAAAUUUAUUUGACCUAGCAUAUGCCUGUACGCUUCACAUGUUAAUCCCCAAUGCCAGGCAUGUUGACAUCGCACACAAAAAAUUCUCCAGCAAUUGGGACAUGCCCUGAUCAAAUAUCUCUUUUUGUCAUCAAUCAAUUUUCCCGUACAAUCUAUAUAAGGGCAAUCCAUAGCAUAUGACAAAGCCAGAACUUUAGCUUCUCGAUUAGCAUCUUCUACACGAUGAUAAACAUCAUAAGGCAACAAUAAUUCAAAACUCAUGGUUCUUUUGCAGUUCGCAAUAGGACACUUAACUUCUUCAAUAUUUUCGUUGAUUUGUUUAGCAAUAUACUUGUGUAUACAUUCUUCGCAGUAUAAAUGUGGACAACUAAUGCCCUGAAUUAGUGUGUUUGGCGGAAAUGCAUCUUCACAGAUGUCGCAGUACAAACAUGAAGAUUCUCCCUUUUCCCAAAUACCGUUUACUUUUUCAAUUGAUUUAUAAAUAAAAGAAUAAUGUGGUUCAACAGCUUUCUUACCGGUAGCAUGAUUAGAACUUGAUUCCAAGUUCUUACCUGAGUGUAAUUGCGCAGAAUAAAAUAGGAUCUGUUGCAAUUGGAUAUCUUCAUCCUCUUCCAUGAUGUCUUCCUCAUUUUCGUUGACAUAAGACCUCAUCCGAACAUUAUCAGUUUCUUCAUUGCGAUUGGAAGCUUGAAUAUUCCUUAAUCCCAUUUUAAUUUCAUUAACGCCUAUAUAUUAACUAGUUUUACGUCUUCCUUGACGUAUGUGGAAAUUCUUCACCCUUCUAAAUAAUAAAUCGUUAUCACUCAUUCAUUUUUGAUACAAGAAUCAGGACAUGAACAAUGUUUUAUUCAAUCAGCGGCAGAGGUAGAAUGGAGGACUCUGCCGCGGAUAUUCAGACGAUUGUUAUAUUUCUUUCUUCUCAGUAUGUAUCUAGGUCAUAUCUGCAUUGACAUAUAUAUAGUAUUUUUUUUUAAAAAAAAAUAUGUGUCUUAUUGAGUUUAUACUACAUUUAAGAUUUAAAUUUUUUUCUUUUUUAGGAUUUUGACUGGAUAACAAAAUAAAUUUGCAUUAAAUUUGGACUAUGCCACGUGUCGAAAGUGAUAUAACGUGUCUAGUUAAAUUAAAAGGCAAUGGACAUGUUCCACGUGCACAACUGACAUGUUUCGAUCAAUAAAAUAUUGCCAACUCAACUUCAAUUUGAAUGGCCGAAAAAAGUUUGUCUACAUCUGUCACAACGCGAUUUCUCAAGUCGUGAUAGCUCCUACUUUAAUCCCCCAGUAGGCAAGCCAAGCCAUAGUCCGGAAUGAUAGUUAACUGGCUAACAGAUCACAGAGACCAAAAAAAAGAUCACGUAUAAUGAUAACAAUAACAAUAAUAAGUGAAAACUAAGAAGAGAGCACAUAUGAUAUAUCAAAACGAGAGGAGGAAAAAGGACCAAAUAUAUAAACGAAUCCCUCCCAAGACCUGAUAAGUUCAGUACUAGAGUCACUACUAACAGGUACCCAGAGUACUAGACAAAAAUCUAAAAUAUACACAACAUACACAAGCAGUCUCGAGUGCAGAAGACUAAGUAGAAUAGAUAGAGGAGGAUCAGCCUCAUACGACAACAAGCUCACCCUACUCUGAAUCAGUACUGGAAGGUAGGAAUCACCUCAACAUUAACUGCUAGUACCCGGAUCUGCAUUUGAAAAAGAUGUAGAAGUGUAGUAUGAGUACCAAAGCAACGGGUACUCAGUAGGCAUCAUCGGCCGACUAAGCUCAAAAUAGAAAAGGUAUAACUACAAUGCGAGGAUGUAAUCCAAGUAAACAGUAAAAAGGGACAGAAAGGGUAAACAACUGCCAAGCUACGCCAAUGAGAUAGAGGAAUAAAUGUAAGCGAUACAGAAAAUAAAUAACACAGUGAUUACAGACAAAGCAAACAUAACCUAACUGGGCCCCCAUAAGCCCGUUAGGCACACUGAAGAAGACAAUUAAUCCAACCAUACCUCCAUAAGCCGGUGACAUACAAGAAGUAAUGAGAAAUAAACAUAAAUAAUCUGUAACUAAACUGAUCCCAAGGAACCGUGGCAGUCAUCAAGAUAUGCACCGGACUUGAACCGACACCAAUGGGUAGUAACAAGAGGCCAGACACCGGACUCAAACCGGUAGUGAUAAACAAUAACAAGAGGACACGGGCCGAAUUCAAACCGGACAUAGUGAGUAAUAACGAGAGGCCACAUAUAUAAUAUACAACAAAUCUCGUAAUCAAAUAUAGGACUCAAACCGUAUCUCAGUGGAACCAUAACCAUAAUCAGUACUAGAGCCACUACUAAUAAGUACCCAGAGUACUAGACAAAAAUCUAAAAUGUACACAAUAUACACAAGCAAUCUCGAGUGCAAAAGACUAACUAGAGUAGAUAGAGGAGGAUUAGCCUCGGACGACAGCAAGCUCACCCUACUCUGAAUCAGUACUGGAAGGUAGGAAUCACGUCAACGUUGACUGCUAGUACCAGGAUCUGCAUCAGAAAAAGAUGCAAAAGUGUAGUAUGAGUACCAAAGCAACGGGUACUUAGUAGGCAUCAUCGGCCGACUAAGCUCAAAAUAGAAAAGGUAUAACUACAAUGCGAGGAUGUAAUCCAAGUAAACAGUAAAAGGGGACAGAAAGGGUAAACAACUGCCAAGAUACGCCAAUGAGAUAGAGGAAUAAAUGUAAGCGAUACAGAAAAUAAAUAACACAGUGAUUACAGACAAAGCAAACAUAACCUAACUGGGCCCCCAUAAGCCCGUUAGGCACACUGAAGAAGACAAUUAACCCAAUCGUACCCCCAUAAGCCGGUGACACACAAGAAGUAAUGAGAAAUAAACAUAAACAAUCUGUAACUAAACCGAUCCCAAGGAACCGUGGCAGUCAUCAAGAUAUGCACCGGACUUGAACCGACACCAAUGGGUAGUAACAAGAGGCCAGACAUCGGACUCGACCCGAUAGUGAUAAACAAUAGCAAGAGGACACAUGCCGGAUUUGAACCAGACAUAGUGGGUAAUAACGACAGGCCACAUAUAUAAUAUACAACAAAUCUCGUAACCAAUUGUCGGAAUCGAACCGGAUCCCAGUGGAACUACAAUCAUAAUUAGAUUCCGGACUCGAACCAAAACUCAUAGUAAAAAUAAUAAUCAAAAUGCCAGACUCGAACCGAAACUCAGAGUAAUCAUACCCAACGGUAAUAUUAAAAUUCAUAUCAUACCAUAACAAUGUCAACGUGGUGCAAAUGUUCACAAUCAAUGACAUAAAUAAAAGGAUAAAUUACAGUAACUAACAACCUUAAGAUCUUAAUUACAAUUAAUAACAACACUUUCUCAAAAUUACAACUUAUGUCAAAACUAGCAAUAGUUUGACUUUUCUAGAGUUAAGCACGUGAAUUCCAUCAAUUGCUUUUCCUUUACCUAUUUUCAAGUAAUUUACCCUAUUUUCAAGCAAUUUACCUACUUCUGGAUUCUACCAAUUACUUUUCCUUUACCUAUUUUCAAGCAAUUUAUCCUGUUUUAAAGUAAUUUACCUAUUUCAGUUUCGUCCUUUCUAACGUAUUUUUUUUUAAAUCGCUAUUUACUCUCUAAUUUCGGAUAAACUUUUCCCCAAUAAUUAAGGGAAGAUGAUUUUACAGUUAAUGCAUGUUAUUAUUUUUUUUUUCAUAUAACUUCUUUUUUGUAAAAUAAUUUUGGCAUUUUUCAAUCUUCUUCUGCGAUUUUUUUUCUUUUGCGGUUUGAAAUUUUUGGAGUUACGCGAUAAUGUCAGUACAUACAAAUCAUAGUAGUUCAGUUAGUGGAAUUCCAUCGAUGAAUUUUAGGUCCGAUGAACUAUCAUCGUUUAGUCUUGGUUUAACACAAGAUGAAGAAAUUAACUUGAUUUCUUCUAAUUUUCAGUCUAAGAGAGGUGUUAGCAAAGUAGAGGUAAGAUCGAAUCAGUGUAACGAUCCAAAAAAGAUUGUGGAAAUCAUGAAACGGAAAGCAUUGAGAAAAUCUUCAUCCCCAAAAUCAACAAAAAUUUAAAAAUCGGUGAAAAAGAGAAAGUCGGAUGAAAAAGGAGAAUCUAGUCAGAUGUCAAGUCCUGUUUUUUAUCUGAUUAUGAAUCUGAAGAAGAGAAAGUGGAAGAGGUAUUUUUCUAUUUGUAAAAUUUUAUAAUUUCUGGAUAACAUGUUCAUAUAUGUAUUUUAUAUAUACAAUUUAUAAGGUGUAUAAGUAGUUUUGAGUUUUGUUAAGAUAUGAAAUUGCAGUUGCUAAUGGGAUGAUAUGUAUCUGUUAUAUAUUUAAGAUAUGUAUUUUGUAUUUAGGUUUGUUACUGAUAAGAUUUGUAUUUGUUAUGUAUAACAUAUUUAAUAUAUGUAUCUUGUAUUUAAGAUAUGUGUAGGAUAUUUGUAUUAGUUACUGAAAAGAUUUGUAUUUGAUGUUCAGUUGUAUUCUUUUCUUGGUAACUUAAAUUUUGGACCAUUCAUAUAUUCAUAAAAUUUUAUGCAUUUGUAUUUUAAUUUUUUUGGACUGUAUGGUCAUAUAUGUAUUUUAUAUAUACAUUUGAUAAACUAUCUACUUAUGUGAGAGUUAUUGUUAAGAUAUGGAAUUGUAGUGUGGAGAUAUGUAUUUUUUAUGUUGUAAUUAUUUGCAAUGCAUUUGCUACAGGUUAGAUAUGUAUUUUGUAUUUGUUUGUACGAAGUUUUUAUAUAUGGUGACAUAUGCUGAGUGCCUUACUUUUGAUGACUGUGUUCCAAAUAUUGACUUUGAUCCAGAUCUUCUUCGCACGAGAUAUAUUUUAAUGUUGUGAAAUUAUAUUAUGCUUCGAGGAAAGAAGAUGAGAAAGUUGAAAGUGAUGAUAAAGCACCAAUGAGGCCUCGUAGGGAUAUUGGGCUAACAGAAGAUACUGAAGUGCAUGAUAUUUGAAGUUUAUUUGUAUUUAUUGUAUUUGGCAACAUUGAACUUUAGGAGGACUAAGAUAUAGUUGAAAGAUGAUAUUUUAAUAUUUUCUUAUGUGAUUGUUAGAUUUUUUUAUCGUUAUGCUUCUAAAAUAGAAUUGUUCGAUCUUACUUUAUGUUAUUGUUACGCAUAUUUUGGUAUGAAUAUGUGAUUUUCAGUUUUAAGUAUAAUUUUCAGUAAUGAAUAUAUAUGUUUCAGUCAUCAUAUAUAUUUUUCAAUGGUGUAUUUGUAUUUUUCAUUUUAUGCAUAUGUAUUUUUUUAUAAUACAUAUAAGGUAAGUUGAGGUUGCAUAUAAUAUUUUUCAUUGUAUGAAUAUGUAUUUUUUUGUAAUGCAUAUGUAUUUUGAGUAAUGCAUAUAUUUUUUUUCCAGUUAUACACAUGUACUUUCGAAUAAUACAAAGUUAUUGUAUUGUUUUGCAUAAGUCUAUGUAUAUUUAUGAAGCAUAUGUAUUUAUGAUUUAUACAUACAUAGUUAUUCAUAUAUAUCUAUGAAUAAUACAUAUUUAUUUAUGAUUAUUGCAUAUGUUUUCCUUAAAAAAAAAUGGAUUUCAAGUUCUGAUUAAGUAAUUGAUAAGUCAUUAAAUGUAUUUUUAAUUAUUUUUAUUUAUUACAUAAAUAUAUGUUAACUUAUUUUUAGUUUUUAUAGAUCGGUAUACGUUUUUAUUAGAAUCUCAUAUGUAUUUUUCAUACCAAAAAAUUGACUUGUAUGGUGUAUACUCUUUUAUGUAUAAAUAAAUAAUGGUAUAUGUCUUAUAAAAUAUAUUCAUGAUGAUAACAUUUGCAACAAUUUAACUACAAAAAAGUCAACAUCAUCAAAAGUUUGUAUCAAAAUUUAGAAUCAUAAAAUAAUCAAUGAAAAAAACAAUUGCUUUUGAACUGAAUACAUCUAUAAACUUAUCAUUUAUUAUAUUUCCCACAUGAACACCAAUUGUGACCUUUAAAUCCACAUGAACUGCAAUAAUUUUUGUUUUUCUUCUAGAACAUAUCUCUUUCCGACUUUUCACGAUCCUUCUUUGCAGGUCUUCCAGGGGGUCGCUUGUAUUUUGGGGGCAAAACUAUCUCCUUCAAUAUAUCCUGUGGAAUCACUCAAUCAUCUUUGCGUGGUAUAGGAUAAAUGGGAAGAUCAUAUGUUCUUGACACAGUUUUUGAUUUGUAUAGGUCAGAGUAAUAUGAUCCCUUUUGAAAAUUCUUGUUAUCAAAUACUUCAUAAGCAUGCACAUACGGUAUCUCGUCCUAUUGGAAUGCAUGGCAAGAUUUUUUUUUUCUUAAGGCAAACAAUAAAAUGUUUAUCCUUGUCGUGUACUGUAUAGACAUACUCUGAGGCUGGUAUAACCUGCAUAUGUAAUUGUUCCAAUUUCGCAAUUAUUCAUUUGACAUUUUUAAUUGUUCCAGUUUAGCAAUUGUAUUUUACCAACUCUGCAUAUGUAUCCUGUGGAAUCACUCAAUCAUCUUUGCGUGGUAUAGGAUAAAUGGGAAGAUCAUAUGUUCUUGACACAGUUUUUGAUUUGUAUAGGUCAGAGUAAUAUGAUCCCUUUUGAAAAUUCUUGUUAUCAAAUACUUCAUAAGCAUGCACAUACGGUAUCUCGUCCUAUUGGAAUGCAUGGCAAGAUUUUUUUUUUCUUAAGGCAAACAAUAAAAUGUUUAUCCUUGUCGUGUACUGUAUAGACAUACUCUGAGGCUGGUAUAACCUGCAUAUGUAAUUGUUCCAAUUUCGCAAUUAUUCAUUUGACAUUUUUAAUUGUUCCAGUUUAGCAAUUGUAUUUUACCAACUCUGCAUAUGUAUAUUGCAUGUCUCAAUAUGUAUUUUUAGAAAUAUAUGGCCUUCAUAUUUUUUUAGAAAAAAUGCAGUCAAACACUUAAAACAGAGUUCAAAUGUAUUUUUUAAAUUCAUAUAGCUGGCAGCAUAUGUAAAUUGAAAUACAUAAAAGUAACUACCAGUGAUCACAUAAACAGACCGCAUAUGUAUUUUACAAAUACAUAUAGCUGGCAAUAUAUGUAAUGUAAUUAAAUGCAUAUAUAACAAGGACUUACGGUUCCAUCCAUGGUAUAAGCAGUUACAAAAGUACCAGUAUACAGUUUUCUGAGAUGACUUGCAUCAACGAUUAUUACAGGUAUACAAUGUUCAAACCCUUUGACACAAUAACUUAUUAGUAUAUACAAAACUUUGAAACAAAAUCCAACAAGAACAAAUUGUUUAAUUGAAAUGGAAAAAAAUACAAAAUAAACUAUAACAAUUGUAUAUCAAUAUUCAACCUACAUAACGUGAUGGAAAACUCUAAUUUGUAAAAAGAAAUUAUUGAUCAAACCACUUUGUUCGAGAACUAAUCAAAUCAUUGUUGUUAAGAUUUUUUCAGCGAUUUUCACAAAUAUAGUUCAAAAAAUUCACAAACAAAAUCAGAUUUGUUUAUUGAUACCUGUAUUUGCAGCGUUGUCUUAUCAAACUCUUUGUCUUGUUCCAGAUUUGUUGGUAUGGCUUUGAUUACUAUUCCUUGUCUUGAGCCGGGGGUCUAUCGAAAACAGUCUUGCUACUUCUCCGGGAGUAGUGGUAUGGACUGCGUACAUCUUACCCUCCCCAGACCUCUGUCAUGACCCGAACCGGGGCCCUGGCCGUGACGAGCAUUCCCGAACCCGAAGGCCCGGAACGCCCUCUGUCUAUCUGGUAAUCAUGCACAUAAUUCAUAUGAUCAAAGUAAUACGGAAUAGACACAAUAAUAAGGAAACAUGAUCAACAAUUUAAAAUAGUUAAAAGCCUGAAAACAUGCCCAACAAUAUUUAAUAAACAUCUGCAACAGUCUGCAAAAUCUCUACUGAAAUACUAUCUGAAUAACUGGGAUAAGGCCCUCAGUAGACCAAAAGCCAUACUGAAAUAAAUACCUAAAUGACUAGGCCUUCCAAAGCAAAGAAGGCUCACCAACUGAACUCUGAGAUAACCCUGUCUGUAGACUCUACUGAGGAUCUGGACCCCUAGACUGCGCCUCAGUACCUGGGAGGAAGGGGGUCAGAACAAUUGUACUGUCACGUGAAGCAAUCCAAAAUAGAGUAAUUGAACAUAUAUAUAUAUAUAAUACGUGAGAGAAAAUGUUCAUCAAACAUUAUGCAUAAAACAGUUUCUGGAAAAAACACAUGGGCACCUUCUGAAAACAUGUAACCUGUCUGUAAAUCUCAAACUCUAAUUUGUGUAUUACUUCUGAGUUAGGUGGUAUCCCCUACAAGUUUGAUAUUCCACGGGCGAUAUGGAAUCCGUCAUUGACUCGGCGGGAAAGCCUCCAACCCGAGUAUGCCGCAAGAGUUGGAAUUCCUGAAUCUGAUACACCACACGAUACUUAAGUCAGCGUAUAAUAAUAUACCCGGGUCCGCAAACCAUGGUUUUGGACAAUGAGUUGCUUGAACUCAAGCCCUCUUCAGGGAACCACCUAACAUCUCUGUAUGCCCAUUUUUAACCUUUUCUGUACAUGCAACAUUCUGAAUGUCUAAAAUUAUGAUAGUCUGAAAUAUUUAUUAGUCUGAGUCUGAUAUGGCAUUGGUCUGAAUUGGUAUCGUCAUACCAAGACUUGUAAGUCAUGAUUUUUGAGCCAUAAUACAUUGAGCUAAAAUUUUCAUUUAAAGCAUAAUUUAGACCACCAAAAACAUGCAACUAAUAUAGAAGAUUUUGCGUUUCGAAACUCAAGUCAAAUGCUAUGAGAAAUUUGAAAAAUUCACUAAAGAGGGAAUUCACCGAAAAUCAUGCUCUCAAGAAGAAUUCAUUCUUAAAUACAUGGUUUCAUACAUUCAUAUUCUCAAAUCACUUUGGGAAAGGUCAAAAGACCAAACAAUGAUGUUAAUAUACAUAGAUUCAAAAACUCCAUUCUAAAACAAGUUUUUUCUAUACCCAUGAGAAUUUAGGAAAACCCCGCAUACCUCUAUUUCAAAAAAUAAUAGGUGCUUCUUGAAGCCUGUGGAUUGGGGAUUCCGAAUCUCUAAUAAAUUUUGAAAAUCUAUGGUUAAAUCUUGAUUUAUUUGGAUUUUUAGUUUGAAACCCUUGGGAGUGUUCUUGAGAAUUUUUAGAUGAAUGUGGAUGUAUUUUGGAGAAUUGGGAACUGAAUUUCGUGUUUAUGGCUGAAUAAGGGUGGGAAAAGGACCAUUUUGCCCCAAAAGCGGAGUGUUUAAGUCACUUGAAACCAUAAGAUAUACGCCGCAUAUGAUAUCGCAUAUAUUUACAUAGGCGCCGGAUAUGAUAUCACCUAUAUUUACAUGGGCGCCGCAUAUGAUAUCGCCUAUAUUUACAUAGGCGCAGCAUAUGCUAUCGCAUAUGCUUUUCAGUGGCCAUGUCCGAUUGUUUAGGCGACGUAUACUACUUUGAAAGAUCAUAACUUCUUGCUCGGGUGUCGAAUUUUAGCAAAAUUGGUAUCGUUGGAAAGUGAACUCGAAAACCUAUCAUUUGACACAUAGUAGGUUCUCUAAUUCGACGUAUACAGAGAGUUAUGGUCGAUUGAAGCUGACACAAAUUACAACAUUCACUAAAAACUAAUCGAUCGAAAUAGUUUCAACUCGUCCUUGAGUUGAAGGACCUCUAUGGUCUAAAUUCAUGCUCAAAUGGAUUUACAUACUACAUAAACAUGCCAAAUUGGCAUAGGAUUUAAGGCUCUGGGAUUUUCAACGCAUCAGAGUCAUGGUUUUUAUUCUAGCCCGAAAUGCGGGGUGUUACAUUAUCUCCUCUUGGGAUCAUUCGUCCCUGAAUGAUGGAUAGAAUGUUGAAGUCUUAAGGGUAUGGGAUAACGCGGACAUGAUAUGUUCCCUAAGAAAGAAUACACUGAUCAGAAAUAUGACUAUAAGAUUGGAACUACUGAUGUUUUAAAUGCUUAUGUCGGACAUGCAUAUCAGAGGCAUGGAAUACAUAAAUGAAGCUACUCAUAGGCUGAAUUCACAUAGUGAAUCAUGCAUAUCUGAUGCAUGGAUCUGUGACCGAGUUGUUCUCAUGAAUGCAGGACUGAAUACACUGAUACGCUAAACUUUUCUAUUAAACAUCCAUUUCUAGUGCAUGCAUAUCUGACUGAACUAACGUAUGAACGUAUGGCUAAAUACGCAAUAAUAAUUGAUGUGAAGCUUGUAAUAAGAAUCUAUGCAUGCAACUGAAUGGGGUAUCUCCCCCUUGGUACCCUAUGUCCCUCUAUGAAUGCUCAAUUCACUAAGAUACUCGGAAAANNNNNNNNNNNNNNNNNNNNNNNNNNNNNNNNNNNNNNNNNNNNNNNNNNNNNNNNNNNNNNNNNNNNNNNNNNNNNNNNNNNNNNNNNNNNNNNNNNNNNNNNNNNNNNNNNNNNNNNNNNNNNNNNNNNNNNNNNNNNNNNNNNNNNNNNNNNNNNNNNNNNNNNNNNNNNNNNNNNNNNNNNNNNNNNNNNNNNNNNNNNNNNNNNNNNNNNNNNNNNNNNNNNNNNNNNNNNNNNNNNNNNNNNNNNNNNNNNNNNNNNNNNNNNNNNNNNNNNNNNNNNNNNNNNNNNNNNNNNNNNNNNNNNNNNNNNNNNNNNNNNNNNNNNNNNNNNNNNNNNNNNNNNNNNNNNNNNNNNNNNNNNNNNNNNNNNNNNNNNNNNNNNNNNNNNNNNNNNNNNNNNNNNNNNNNNNNNNNNNNNNNNNNNNNNNNNNNNNNNNNNNNNNNNNNNNNNNNNNNNNNNNNNNNNNNNNNNNNNNNNNNNNNNNNNNNNNNNNNNNNNNNNNNNNNNNNNNNNNNNNNNNNNNNNNNNNNNNNNNNNNNNNNNNNNNNNNNNNNNNNNNNNNNNNNNNNNNNNNCUUACCACUUCAAUGACUACUCUGAACUCUUACUAUGAAGUCGCUAGCGCAUAUAGCGUUCCUUUACAACAAUCUCAACAUGUCAUUCAAGCCUAUCUUUAUAACCACAUAUGAACUUCAAAGCAACCACUCAUAAAGGCAUACUUCAUAUAUUCUCUAAACCACUAUCAAUAUCACUCCUAAGAGCUACCCCAAGAACAUACACAUACAAAAUUCCACUAAUCAUCACAUAAAUAAAAACUUGGCCCCAAAUCUUACUUCAUACUUAUGGCCUUAUCUAAACAAGUGUACUAUGAUCUUCCAUCAAUAAGGAAUAAUUACUCACCACCACUAUCAUCGCAUAAGGAGGAGUCACAAAAAAGUUAGAACAUAAGAUUUGGAGGCAUGAAAUGAUACUAUAUGAAGCUUGACACUCAUCUGAGGCCUGAGGAAUAGCAAAACAACAGGGACUCACCAAAGCACUCUGAAUUUAGGGUAUUUAUGGCUAUAAGCUAAAUCUCACCAAUCAUUUGGCGUAAAACAUGAGUUAUGGAAACGAAGCACAUUAUAAAGUGUGAGUACUUGACUCUCUAUCAUAUGUAUGAACGUGAACUGAUCAUGGAACUAAAUCGUAAAGCAUGAGUAGGUAUUAGGAUCACUGAGAAAUACUGAGAUAGGAAUGGGUUGAGAUUCACCUUUACUUUUUGAUGUUCUAUAUCAUCAUCAUGACAUCACUACAAGAAUCUAAGAGUCUUACUUGGUUAUUCGUUUAGUCAUCUCCCCCUUAGCUUCAANNNNNNNNNNNNNNNNNNNNNNNNNNNNNNNNNNNNNNNNNNNNNNNNNNNNNNNNNNNNNNNNNNNNNNNNNNNNNNNNNNNNNNNNNNNNNNNNNNNNNNNNNNNNNNNNNNNNNNNNNNNNNNNNNNNNNNNNNNNNNNNNNNNNNNNNNNNNNNNNNNNNNNNNNNNNNNNNNNNNNNNNNNNNNNNNNNNNNNNNNNNNNNNNNNNNNNNNNNNNNNNNNNNNNNNNNNNNNNNNNNNNNNNNNNNNNNNNNNNNNNNNNNNNNNNNNNNNNNNNNNNNNNNNNNNNNNNNNNNNNNNNNNNNNNNNNNNNNNNNNNNNNNNNNUAUCACCAAUUCUGCAAUGAUCCACUCUAUUUCUAUCGUAGUCUACCAACAUAGCAACUUCAAACUUAUUUUCCUCUACCAUGAGAAUCAAUUUCAUAUCAAAAGGCUCAACGCUAUCAAUCAAAGGUCCUUAACUUAGCUAUUUAGAACACCAUAUACCAUCUAGCUAGUCUUUUUCCACCUAGCAACUCAACGGUACCAGUAGCCACACACAACAUGUAAUAGCCUUAGAAAAAUACUACAGCUUCANNNNNNNNNNNNNNNNNNNNNNNNNNNNNNNNNNNNNNNNNNNNNNNNNNNNNNNNNNNNNNNNNNNNNNNNNNNNNNNNNNNNNNNNNNNNNNNNNNNNNNNNNNNNNNNNNNNNNNNNNNNNNNNNNNNNNNNNNNNNNNNNNNNNNNNNNNNNNNNNNNNNNNNNNNNNNNNNNNNNNNNNNNNNNNNNNNNNNNNNNNNNNNNNNNNNNNNNNNNNNNNNNNNNNNNNNNNNNNNNNNNNNNNNNNNNNNNNNNNNNNNNNNNNNNNNNNNNNNNNNNNNNNNNNNNNNNNNNNNNNNNNNNNNNNNNNNNNNNNNNNNNNNNNNNNNNNNNNNNNNNNNNNNNNNNNNNNNNNNNNNNNNNNNNNNNNNNNNNNNNNNNNNNNNNNNNNNNNNNNNNNNNNNNNNNNNNNNNNNNNNNNNNNNNNNNNNNNNNNNNNNNNNNNNNNNNNNNNNNNNNNNNNNNNNNNNNNNNNNNNNNNNNNNNNNNNNNNNNNNNNNNNNNNNNNNNNNNNNNNNNNNNNNNNNNNNNNNNNNNNNNNNNNNNNNNNNNNNNNNNNNNNNNNNNNNNNNNNNNNNNNNNNNNNNNNNNNNNNNNNNNNNNNNNNNNNNNNNNNNNNNNNNNNNNNNNNNNNNNNNNNNNNNNNNNNNNNNNNNNNNNNNNNNNNNNNNNNNNNNNNNNNNNNNNNNNNNNNNNNNNNNNNNNNNNNNNNNNNNNNNNNNNNNNNNNNNNNNNNNNNNNNNNNNNNNNNNNNNNNNNNNNNNNNNNNNNNNNNNNNNNNNNNNNNNNNNNNNNNNNNNNNNNNNNNNNNNNNUUCAUAACCACAAUAAUCGAUCAUGACCUUACGAUUUUCCUUGUCAUAAUCCAUUAGCACGUACUAUUUCAACACAUCAAGCUUACAAAUCUAAUCCCACGAAACAUGUACCAUCAAUCUCUUGCCAAUAUUCACCACCACACUAUUUAAAUUUAAGCCUAUAGCCUAGCAUCAAUCAUUUACAACCAAUAGAGAGUCCACAUAAUAUAAAUAUACUAAUCCUUCAAAUUGGGAUAUUCUACCCAAAUACUUCAAAAAUAUACUACAUACUUUCUCACAAGUAGUAUUAGUUCACAACUACCAAUGAGAAUAAGGUUAAGGGGUAAGGUCACAUAAUAGAUAUGAUCAACCUUAAGUUUAUAUUAUAACCAUACAAUCUUAUCUACUUAUACGGCUUUCUCACAUCACACUUACUUACCCCAAUGGGCAUUUAGACUACCUUCAGAUACCCCAUAUGACAAUGAGUCUAUACUUACAACCUACUGGCUAAUCUAGCCCUUUUCAUUCAUCGCCUAUAAGGGGCUUCUCUAACCCCUUAAGUAUCCACUCUGGGCUCUUUCUCUAUUUUGAAAGGAAGAAAAAAAAUAACAUUCUGAGUCAACACUUCCUCCACGGACUACCAUACAAUUCAUAAAUGGUACCACUACAUUAGUCUACCACCGCGAAAGGGUAAAUCAUUCUCAAUCAAUGGUUAUUCAACUAUAAAUAUUUAAUCACAAAAGUCACCCUCACUCUGACCUCUAACAUUAUAACUUCAUAUCACAAACUUCUUGGUCUAAUUUCACUACCAAUAGGUCAUGACACCGACACUCUAACUUAUACUACUACUCGGGUGUAAAUACAGUUCCAACAAACACAAGAACAACAAGAUGAAUAGCAAGUUGCUAGUGAAUCGAAAUAGGCCUCAUACGGCUUCACUAGACUUUUAUUUUCAACAACACAAUGAUAUCAAGAUUAUAAGAGAUAGAAGCUUGAUACACAUAUUUAAUGACUCAAGAAUACACAUCUUACUCUUGUCUUAACUGAACGCCUCAUAAGAACGAGGACACAAUUUUACACUAGGGAACUCCUCUCUCGUUCUUUGUGGGACUUCUUAAAUUUCUGCUACAUAAUUGAAGAAUAUCUGGAAAUACCAGAGUGAGGAAGAAAUUAGGAUAACUUUUCUUUUCGUAUGUAUGACACCAUAGCACGAAUUAGAGUAUGAAAGAGGAACAUUCUGACUCUAUAGCACGAACCAGAACAUAAAGAAAGAGAGACAUUCCUAAAUGUCUUGUAGACUUCUGCUUAUAAAUGUGGUGCGCUACACACCCAUAAACAAGACUCUACCCGAUGCGAUUUUGAAGACACCCUGGGAACAUGAACCGUGCUUUGAUACCAAGUUUGUCAUGACCCGAACUGGGGCCCUGGCCGUGACGAGCAUUCCCAAACCCAAAGGCUCGGAAUGCUCUCUAUCUAUCUGGUAAUCAUGCACAUAAUUCAUAUGAUCAUAGUAAUACGGAAUAGACACAAUAAUACGAAAAAAUGGUCAAUAAUUUAAAACAGUUAAAGGCCUGAAAAGGUGCCCAACAAUAUUUAAUAAACAUCUGCAAUAUUCUGUGAAAUCUCUACUGAAAUACUAUCUGAAUAACUGGGACAAGGCCCCCAGCAGACCAAAAGUCAUACUGAAAUAAAUACCUAAAUGACUAGGUAUUCCAAAGCAAAGAAGGCUAACCAACUGAACUCUGAGACAACCUUGUCUGUAAACUCUACUGAGGAUAUGGACCCCUAGACUGCUCCUCAGUACCUGGGAGGAAGAGGGUCUCAGUACAAUUGUACUGGCACGCAAAGAAAUCGAAAAUAGAUUAAUUGAACAUAUAUAUAUAUAAUACGUGAGAGCAAAUGUUCAUCAAACAUUAUGCAUAAAACAGUUUCUGAAAAAUACAUGGGCACCUUCUGAAAACAUGUAACCUGUCUGUAAAACUCAAACUCUAAUCUAUGUAUUACUUCUGAGUUAGGUGGUAUCCCCUACAAGUCUGAUAUUCCACGGGCGAUAUGGAAUCCGCCAUUGACUCGGUGGGGAAGCCUCCAACCCGAGUAUGCCACAAGGGUUGGAAUUACUGAAUUUGAUAUGCCACACGACACUUAAGUCAGCAUAUAAUAAUAUACCCGGGUCGGCAAACCACAGUUUUAGGCAAUGAGUUGCUUGAACUCAAGCCCUCUUCAGGGAACCACCUAACAUCUCUGUAUGCCCAUUUUUAACCUUUUCUGUACAUGCAACAUUCUGAAUGUCUAUAAUCAUGAUACUCUAAAAUGUCUAUUAGUCUGAGUCUGAUUAGCAUUGGUCUGAAUUGGUAUCGUCAUACUAAGACUUGCAAGUCAUGAUUUCUGAGCCAUAAUACAUUAAGCUAAAUCUUUCAUUUAAAGCACAAUUUAGACCACCAAAAGCAUGCAACUGAUAUAGAAGAUUUUGUGUUUCGAAACUCAAGUCAAAAUCAUGCAAAAACUUCAUCAACAUAUGGUGGUCUAGUGCCUUUAGCAAAUCCAUGCACUCUUUCAUUACAUGCANNNNNNNNNNNNNNNNNNNNNNNNNNNNNNNNNNNNNNNNNNNNNNNNNNNNNNNNNNNNNNNNNNNNNNNNNNNNNNNNNNNNNNNNNNNNNNNNNNNNNNNNNNNNNNNNNNNNNNNNNNNNNNNNNNNNNNNNNNNNNNNNNNNNNNNNNNNNNNNNNNNNNNNNNNNNNNNNNNNNNNNNNNNNNNNNNNNNNNNNNNNNNNNNNNNNNNNNNNNNNNNNNNNNNNNNNNNNNNNNNNNNNNNNNNNNNNNNNGCGUACCUCUAUUUCGGAAAAUAAUGGGUGCUUCUUGAAGCCUGUGGAUUGGGGAUUUCGAAUCUCUAAUCAAUUUUGAAAACCCAUAGUUAAAUCUUGAUUUAUUUGGGUUUUUAGUUUGAAACUCUUGGGAGUGUUUUUGAGAAUUUUUAGAUGAAUGCGGAUGUAUUUUGAAGAAUUGGGGACUGAAUUUCGUGUUUAUGACUGAAUAAAGGUGGGAAAAGAACCAUUUUGCCCCAAAAGUGGAGUGUUUAAGUCACUUGAAACCAUAAGAUAUGCACUGCAUAUGAUAUCGCCUAUAUUUACAUAGGCUCCGCAUAUGAUAUCGCCUAUAUUUACAUGGGCGCCGCAUAUGAUAUCGCCUAUAUUUACAUAGGCACCGCAUAUGCUAUCGCAUAUGCUUUCCAAUGGCCAUGUGUUAGUUAGGUGACGCAUACUACUUUGAAAGGCCAUAACUUCUUGCUCGGGUGUCGAAUUUUAGCAAAAUUGGUAUCAUUGAAAAAUUAACUCGAAGACCUAUCAUUUGACACAUUAUAGGCUCUCUAAUUUGACAUAUACAGAGAGUUAUGGUCGAUGGAAGCUGACACAAAUUACAACGUCCACUAAAACUUAAUCGAUCGAAAUAGUUUCAACUCGUCCUUGAGUUGAAAGACCUUUACGGUCUAAAUUCAUGCUCAAAUGGAUUUACAUACUACAUAAACAUGCCAAAUUGGCAUAGGAUUUAAGGCUCUGGGAUUAUCAACGCAUCAGAGUCAUGGUUUUUUUUCUAGCCCAAAAUGUGGGGUGUUACAACCUCACUAUGUGGGAAUACACUGGGUUUGUUGUUGUUGUUGUCUUAUCAAACUCUUCUAAAAACAUUAGACAAUGCACAUAAAUUUUGAAAGCAGUCAUUUUUUUUUAAAUUGAUAUGAGUUGCAGAUUAUGUAAAACGUUUUUGAAUUUUGAAUUAUUUUGCUGUAAAAUAAUGGUUGUGGUUAAAAUAGAGUCAUUAAAGGAAAAGAUAUCUGUAAAAGGUUAAGAAAUCUAUCAAAUUAAAUGUUCCUUAAAUUAAGGAACCGUUUUUCCUAUAUUAAACUGAAACAGAUUGGAGUUAAAUUAGGAACAAAAUCUUUAAUUGUAUAUGUAUAUAACUAGCAACAGUUUAAUCAAAUAAGAAAUACAUAUUUCUAUUUUUUGUAAUUUUCAAAGGGUUGCUAUAAAACUUACAAUUAAGGUUCUAUAGUUGCUAUUUCUGAAUUUUUUUCUAAAUAAAAUAUAUAUUGAACCUGAACAGCAGCUAAAAUACGUCUAGUUGUCGUAUGCAUGUCUUAAUUUUAAAGGAGCAAUUUCAAGGUUUGCAAUUUAAUUCCACGUUCUAAAGUAAUAGAUGCUGUAAUAUAUCGAAAGAUAAAAUACCAAAAUCUACUACAACGGGAUCCUAAUCCGGAUAAAUAAGACAAGUUAUAUAUAUCAAAUAAUACGUGACUAUAAGCACUUAUCCAAAGCUAGCAUAAUAGUUCACAAUUUCAGUAUAUAAGCUCAAUCUAAAAGUAGGGUAAGCCUAGCCUAUCUGAACGCCAAAACAAAAAUAUCUUUUCGCGAAGCCUUCGGAUAGUGACUUGCUAGAGUCCGAGCUUAAAUAACAUCAAAGAAAUUAUUUUUCACAACGCCUCUUAACUUAUAUACAACUUUGUAAGGCUAACCAAGAACUCUAACCAUUUAAAAAAAAAUGAGAAGGCCCCCAAAUAUGGAAUAACACAGACCUACGUGCAUAUAUAUAUAAAAAUGCUACUGAAUGAAAUUUAACAACAUCUCAACCCUUUCGUCUCAACACAAAUGAUAUGUUUCAACCAAUUCCAUCUCAGCACAAAUAUGUUUCAACCAAUUAAGUGUCACCAUGUUCAAUUUAAUUAGUUUAAAGAAAAAGGUUGUCCUCAUCACAACUCUUCCAUCUCAGCACGGGUGACAUGUUUCAACCUAUUAAAUAUCACCAAGUCAAUUUUAAUUUAACUGAUUGUAAAAAGUUUGUACUCGUCAUAAUUCACCUCAACAUGAGUGACAUGUUUCAAACAAUUAAAUAUCACCACAUCAGCUUCAAAUUAAUUGGUCAAAAAAGUGUCCUUGUCACAGAUAAUUCAUCUCAGCGUAGAUGACAUGUUACAACAAAUCAAACAUCGACAUGUCAACUUCAAUAUGAUUGAACAAAAAGAAUUUAUUCUCAUCAUGACUCUUUUAUCCUAACACAAGUGACAGGAUUAACCAAUCAAAUAUCAUUAUGUAACCUUAAAUUUGAUUGGCUGAAAAUAGUUUGUCUUCGUCGCAAAACAUAUAUCCAUCCUAACAUAAGUGACACGUUAUAACCAAAAAAAUGUCACUGGGUAAACAUUCUAAAUAGUCCAAAAAAAUUAUCCUCAUCAUAACUCUUUCAUCCCAACACAAAAGACAUGUUUUGACUAAUCGACUAUUAUCAUGUCAAAUUCAAUCUGAACGAAAGAAGUUUGUCAUCAUCAUAACUAUUAUAUAUACACUACAACUACGAAUAAGGUUCAUCAUAUACAGAAAGAACACCAAAAGUCUAACCAAAAGACGACAGUCCCUAUCAAAGAGACAUUCAUACAAGUUGCUUAAAAACAUCAGCGUUUUUCCAAGCAAAAGAUCUACCCUGUCUUUCAUGUGGCUCAGGUGUGGAGCUACGGCUUGCGAAUGAUGGUCAGAUGAACACCCUUCGUCAAAAAAAAUUUGGGUAUAUAGGUUAAAUAUAUAUAUAUAUAUAUAUAUAUAUAUAUAUGGUUAUAUACAUAUUGUUGAAUACCUUUGAUAAGCUAGAGAUGCAUAGCCUAGUGGUCAAGGGUGUUCAAAUUCACGUUGGGGAUGCAAGUUUGAUCCCCAGUAGGUGCAGUUGCUUUUUUCUCCUUUUUAAAGAAGGAGCAGAUCCUUAUAAAGUAUUUGGAUUGGACCUGAUUAUACCUCAAAAUUCAACCCAAUAUCUGGGCAUGAAGCCCAAUUGCCCAAUAAUAUGAAAGCCCGUUUGGCAUUGGCUAUUAGCUAACCAAGGGCCAAGGCUGACUUUUCUUAAAAUCAAAUUAAAGCAAACUUUUUUUUUAAUUCAAAAAAGAAUAGGUCAAACUUAAUUAAAUUCUAAAGUUAAAUUACACCCAACCCUUUCCCAAUUUUCCUUCAGUUCACUAAACACUUCUCCAUUCCUUCACAUGUCCACCACAAAUCCACAAUCUUCUCCACCUUAUUGUUAAUUUUUUUUUUUUGAAAUUUAGUGUUACAGUCUUCAAGCUUCAAUGGGGUAUCAUUAUAAUUUUUCUUCAUCGACUAUUGGAGUGUGAAUUGUAAAAAGGUAUUCUUCAAUUCUUCUUAUCUUUUAGUUUAAUUUUGUUUCCCUUAAACUUGCUUUUGUAUUUUUUUUUUUGAUUUUGAACUAAGUAAUUUAAUAUUCUAGUUUUAUCUAGUAGAUAACUUGCUAGUUAAUAUUAUUGGGGAGGAUGGAACAAUGUUUCAAGUAUUCAUAAUUUUUUUAUUUGUUGAAAUUGAAUAAUAAGUGUGAUGCGCUUGAUUUUUAUUUUAGUUUGAGGUUUCAAUGAGCUUGGAAAAGUAUUUUUAUAAAGUUUCAAAAAUAAGUUCAACAUCUCAAAAUCAAUCCCGACGAGAUAAAGAUGUUGAUCAAAUAAUAGUACCAUCUCAGUUUUCUCAGAGACAAAAAUUUAAUGUAAAUGAUUUAAAGGCUGACCCUGCUGAAAGACCUCCGAUUUUGAGUUAUCCUCCGAAUACUCGUGAUGAGAUAAGAAGGGCAUACAUUCUAAAAAGUCCUUUCCAACCUCGAGAUCAUGAGUUUCCUCAAACAGACUUUUCUGAAACUCCACGUCAUUUUAUUUCUAAAUGAUUUGAUGAAUAUUCUGAUUGAUUGGAAUAUAGUAUAAGUGCAGGUGCAGCUUAUUGUUUGCCUUGUUAUUUAUUUCAAGGCGAAAGCAUUCAUCAAGGUGGUGGUAAUACAUUUUGAUGAAGGGAUUUAAAAAUUGGCACAGAAAAGAUAGUUUGCAACACACAUUGGUCCUCCGAAUAAGAUUCAUAAUCAAUCAAAAAGGAAGUGUGAAGAUAUUAUGAGGGAAGAACAAUCUAUUGAGGCUGCAUUUUACAAGUUGGACGAGAAAAGUAAGAAUGAAUAUCGAGUUCGGUUAAAUACUUCAAUCGAUGUGGUCCGAUUUCUUCUAAAUCAAGGUUUAGCACUCCGCGGUCAUGAUGAAAGUGAAUCAUUCUUGAACAAAGGUAAUUUUCUUGGAGCGCUUUCUUGGCUUGCGGAUAGAUGUGAUGACAUUAAACCUUAUGUAUUAGAAAAAACUUCAAAAAUAAUAAAAUAAUUUCUCAUGAUAUUCAAAAAGUAUUGUGACCGCGUGUAAGAUUGAAACAAGCAAAGCUAUAAUAAAGGAUUUAGAUGGUGACUACUUUGCUUUGUUUGUUGAUGAAUCAAGAGACGUAUCACGCAAAGAUAAAAUGACUAUUUGUUUACGAUAUGUUGAUAAAAGGGGAUUUGUGAUGGAAGCAUUUAUUGGACUUGUUCAUGUUAAAGAUACUAGUGUUUUAUCUCUAAAGAAAGCAAUUGUGGAUGUACUUGCUCACCAUUCUUUAACUUUAGCUUAUGUACGAGGGCAAUGUUAUGAUGGAGCAAGCAAUAUGCAAGGUGAUUUAGGUGGUCUUAAAACAUUAAUUAGACAAGAAAGUAGAUCGGCUCACUCGGUUCAUUGUUUUGCUCAUCAACUUCAAUUGACUCUUGUUGCGGUUUCUAAAAGGUGUGUUCAAGUAGGAGAACUUGUAUUAUUGACUUCAAAUAUUUUGAAUGUGUUUGGGGAUUCCUUUAAACAUGUGGAUGAAUUUCAAGAAUCUCAAAAAGAAAAACUCUAAGAGGCAUUAGAUAUGGGUGAGCUAGAAAUGGGUAGAGAUUUGAAUCAAGAACUUGGUCUUAUUAAAGCCGGUGACACUCGUUGGGGAUCUCACUACAAGUCAUUUGGAAACUUUAUUAGUAACUUUGCCUCCAUUGUUGAUGUACUUGAUUCUCUUGUUGAAAAUGCAAGUACUUCAGAAUAAAAAGCUAGCGCAUCGGGAUUUCUCAGAAGUUGUCAAACUUUUGAGACUGUUUUCUUGUUGCAUUUGAUGACUAAUGUUUAAGGAAUCACAAAUAAUCUUAAUGUGUCAUUAAAUAAAAAGAAACAGGAUAUUGCUAAUACCAUGAUUCUUGUAAAAGUAUCAAAGAGUAGAUUGCAAACAUUACGAGAUAAAGAAUGGAAUCCUAUUUUAUAAAAGAAUGUUGGUUGGGAUUCGCUCACAGAAAAGGUCGAGGCAUUUUGUAUCAAGCAUAGUAUUCCAUUACUCAAUUAUGAUGUGUCAUAUGCUAACUCAGGGAGAUCACGACGUAAAGUAGUUGAUUAUACUACUUUGCACCAUUAUCGCGUGGAUGUGUUUUAUAAAAUUAUUGAUUGGCAGCUACAAGAACUUAAUGACCGUUUUAAUGAGGUGACAAGUGAUUUGUUUAAUGGUGUAGCUUGCUUAAAUCCAAUUGAUACAUUUUCUAGUUUUGACAUCCUAAAGAUUUUGGUGAUGGCUAAAUUAUAUCCUGAUGACUUUGAUGAAUUCAACAUGAGGGUUCUUGAGAAUCAACUUGUUAAUUAUACUAUUGAUGUUCGUGAUAUUGACAAGAGAUUCUCCAAUUUAGGCAAACUUGGGGCAGGGGCGAAGCUACGUCUUGCGAAGGGUGGUCAGAUAAAUACCCUUCGUCGAAAAAAAAAUUCGAGUAUAUAGAUUAAAUAUAGAUGUAUAUGGUUAUAUACAUAUUGUUGAACACCCUUGGUAAGCUAGAGAUGCAUAGCCUAGUGGUCAAGGGUUUGCAAAUUCGCACUGGGGAUGGAAGUUCGAUCCUCAGUAUGUGCAGUUGCUUUUUUCUCCUUUUUAAAGAAGGAGCAGAUCCUUAUAAAGUAUUUGAAUUGGACCGGAUUAUACCUCACAAUUCAACCCAAUAUCUGUUCUGGGCAUGAAGCCCAAUUGCCAAUAAUGUGAAAGACCGUUUGGCAUUGGCUAUUGGCUAACUGCAGCCAAGGGCCAAGGCUGACUUUUCUUAAAAACAAAUUAAAGCAAACUUUUUUUUUAAUUUAAAAAAGAAUAGAUCAAACUUAAUUAAAUUUUAAAGUUAAAUUAAACCCAUCUCUUUCCCAAUUUUCCUUCAGUUCACUAAACACUUAUCCAUUCCUUUACCUGUCCACCACAAAUCCACAAUCUUCUCCACCUUAUUGUUAAUUUUAUUUUUUUUUUGAAAUUUAAUGUUAAAGUCUUCAAGCUUUAAUGGGGUAUCAUUAUAAUAUUUCUUCAUCGACUAUUGGAGUGUGAAUUGUAAAACGGUAUUCUUCAAUUCUUCUUAUCUUUUAGUUUAAUUUUGUUUCCCUUAAACUUGCUUUUGUAUAUUUUUUUUUAUUUUGAACUAAGUAAUUUAAUAUUCUAGUUUUAUCUAGUAGAUAACUUGCUAGUUAAUAUUAUUUGGGAGGAUGGGACAAUGUUUCAAGUAUUUAUAAUUUUUUUAUUUGUUGAAAUUGAAUAAUAAGUGUGAUGCGCUUGAUUUUUAUUUUAGUUUGAGGUUUCAAUGAGCUUGGAGAAGUAUUUUUGUAAAGUUUCAAAAAUAAGUUCAACGUCUCAAAAUCAAUCCCGACUAGAUGAAGAUGUUGAACAAAUAAUAAUAUCAUCUCAGUCUUCUCAGAACAAAAAUUUGAUGUAAAUGAUUUAAAGGCCGACCCCGUUGAAAGACCUCCGAUUUUGAGUUAUCCUCCGAAUAUUCGUGAUGAGAUAAGAAGGGCAUACAUUCUGAAACAUCCUUGCCAACCUCGAGAUCAUGAGUUUCCUCAAACAGAAUUUUCUGGAACUCCACAUCGUUUUGUUUCUAAAUGGUUUGAUGAAUAUUCUGAUUGGUUGGAAUAUAGUGUAAGUGCAGAUGCAGCUUAUUGUUUGCCUUGUUAUUUAUUUCAAGGCGAACGCAUUCAUCAAGGUGGUGGCAAUACAUUUUUUAUGAAGGGAUUUAAAAAUUGGCACAGAAAAGAUAGUUUGCAACACAUAUUGGUCCUCCGAAUAACAUUCAUAAUUAAUCAAAAAGGAAGUGUGAAGAUCUUAUGAGGGAAGAACAAUCUAUUGAGGCUGCAUUUUACAAGUUGGAUGAGAAAAGUAAGAAUGAAUAUCGAGUUUGGUUAAAUACUUCAAUUGAUGUGGUCCAAUUUCUUCUAAAUCAAGGUUUUGCACUUCGUGGUCAUGAUGAAAGUGAAUCAUCCUUGAACAAAGGUAAUUUUCUUGGAGCGCUUUCUUGGCUUGCGGAUAGAUGUGAUGACAUUAAACCUUAUGUAUUAGAAAAAACUCCAAAAAAUAAUAAAAUGAUUUCUUAUGAUAUUCAAAAAGAUAUUAUGACCGCGUGUAAGAUUAAAACAAUCAAAGCUAUAAUAAAGGAUUUAGAUGGUGACUAAUUUGCUCUGUUGGUUGAUGAAUCAAGAGACGUAUCACGCAAAGAGCAAAUGGGUAUUUAUUUAUGAUAUGUUGAUAAAAGGAAAUUUGUGAUGGAAGCAUUUAUUGGACUUGUACAUGUUAAAGAUACUAGUGCUUUAUCUCUAAAGAAAGCAAUUGUGGAUGUACUUGCUCACCAUUCUUUAACUUUAGCUUAUGUACGAGGAUAAUAUUAUGAUGGAGCAAGCAAUAUGAAAGGUGAGUUAGGUGGUCUUAAAACAUUAAUUAGACAAGAAAGCAGAUCGGCUCACUCGGUUCAUUGUUUUGCUCGUCAACUUCAAUUGACUCUUGUUGCGGUUUCUAAAAGGUGUGUUCAAGUAGGAGAACUUGUAUUAUUGACUUCAAAUAUUUUGAAUGUGUUGGGGGCUUCCUUUAAAUGUUUGGAUGAAUUUCAAGAAUCUCAAAAAUAAAAACUCCAAGAGGCAUUAGAUAUGGGUGAGCUAGAAACGGGUAGCGGUUUGAAUCAAGAACUUGGUCUUAUUAAAGCCGGUUACACUCAUUGGGGAUGUCACUACAAGUCGUUUGGAAACUUUAUUUGUAACUUUGCCUCCAUUGUUGAUGUACUUGAUUCUCUUGUUGAAAAUGCAAGUACUUCAGAAUAAAAAGCUAGCGCAUCGGGAUUUCUCAGAAGUUGUCAAACUUUUGAGACUGUUUUUUUGUUGCAUUUGAUGACUGAUGUUUUAGGAAUCACAAAUGAUCUUAAUGUGUCAUUACAGAAAAAGAAACAGGAUAUUGCUAAUGCCAUGAUUCUUGUAAAAGUAGCAAAGAGAAGAUUACAAGCAUUACGAGAUAAAGAAUGGGAUCCUAUUUCAAAAAAGAAUGCUGGUUGGGAUUCGCUCAAAGAAAAGAUCGAGGCAUUUUGUAUCAAGCAUAGUAUUCCACUACCCAAUUAUGAUGAGUCAUAUGCUAACUCAGGGAGAUCACGACGUAAAGUAGUUGAUUAUACUACUUUGCACCAUUAUCGUGUGGAUGUGUUUUAUAAAAUUAUUGAUUGGCAGCUACAAGAACUUAAUGACCAUUUUAAUGAGGUGACAAGUGAUUUGCUUAAUGGUGUAGCUUGUUUGAAUCCAAUUGAUACAUUUUUUAGUUUUGACAUUCAAAAGAUAUUGGUGAUGGCUAAAUUAUAUCCUGAUGACUUUGAUGAGUUCAACAUGAGGGUUCUUGAGAAUCAAGUUGUUAAUUAUAUUAUUGAUUUUUGUGAUAUUGAUAAAAGAUUCUCCAAUUUUGGCGGACUUGGAAAACUUUCAAGAAAGUUGGUUGAGACAAAGAAGCAUUUAACCUUAUCCUCUUGCAUUUCUUUUUGUGAAGUUUGUUUGCUUCUACCCGUUGCCACUGCAUCAGUUGAAAGAGCUUUCUCGGCAAUGAAGUAUAUCAAGAAUGAUUUACGAAAUUGAAUGGAUGAUGAAUUCUUAGAUGGUUGCAUAGUGCCUCAUGUAGAAAAAAGAAUAUUUAAGAAUAUUUCUAAUGGGUAUAUUAUAGAAACAUUUCAAGGGAUGAAGCGUCGCUGAAUGCACUUGUACUUAUAUUUUCUAAUCAAGCUUUUAUUAAUAGAAUUUGUUUUGUUGACUUUUUCUAUAUUAUAUGUUUCAACUUGUUAUCCUAUAUAAUUUUUUUAUGAUUAGUUUGGUUCAAAGAUUCUUCUUCUUCAAUAUAUUGUUUACAAUAUUUUUUUAUGAUCCGUUUUUUUUUCUAAAAAUAUGAACACCCUUAACCAAAAUCCUGGCUCCGCCACUGAUGUGGCUUGUCUAAAACAUAUAAAAGACUGGACAAAAUUAUACCAAAGCUAGUUGACGUGGUGUCACAGCUUGAAGUUUCAACUUGGUACAACAGAAGGAUCUACUAAAGCAGGAAAGAUUGAGGGUCAACAAACUCUCAACAAAGAUAAUCAACAACAAAGGCAAAUCAAAUUCGAAGACAUUCAAGAUCAUAUUUAGUGCAGGCAAGUUAAAUACUAAGGCAUUCAAGAUCAAAUUCACUUAUUUGUGGAUACUUAAUGUUCGUGAUGAAUCAAAUUCAACAGAUAUUUACUAUCGAGAAAUUUAUGUAUGAAAAACAGAAGAAUGAAGAGGAUUCGCAGAAAAAGUAAACUCACUGUAUAAUAUUUACUACUAUGACUUGCAAUAUUUUUUCUGUCUUGAUAACCAUUUCUUAAAGUAAUUUUUUUUUUUUGUCUAUGAUAGUUUCUUUUCUUUCCAUUUUUGCCAAGUACGACACUAAAAUAUUUUCAACUUUUGUUGCGUAUUUUCUUUAAUUAACUUACCUAACUUUAAUAGAACACGUUCUCAAUCGAAAUUAGUAAACUCAUGGAAAAGAAAAAAGUUUCUUUAAGUUAUAGUACACGUGACAAAAUAUUUUAACAAAAAGACUGCAUGUAUAUGCAAUGUUUUAAUACUGUAUAAAUAGUGUUUAACCUUAUACAUAUAUAUGAUGUAUAACCAUGUAUAUAUGAUGUAUACUAUGUUUGAGCAAUGCAUAUAUAUCUAUAUAUGUUGUUAAUACAACAUACAUUUCAACAGUUCAAUGUAAAAUUAAUAUGGAUAAGCUGAAAUCCCAACAACACAAACACCCAAAUUGAGAUAUCCCCAAUUUCAGCUUAAAUCUUGUCUAAAAUUAAGUUCUUCUUUAAACCAUCUUAUGCCUGGCAAAACAAGCAAUGGAAACUCAUUAAAGAUCCCUCAAAUAUUCAUUACAAUUAGGGAGAAAAAACGACAACUUGCAAUAUGAAGUACUAACAAUAUUCUAAAUUUAAUUGCAAUAUGAAACGUUGAUAAUAGACUAUGUGCACCUAUCAAAAGCACAACAAUCUAUGGAGGAACACUUGGAGGAAAAUGGUGUUUUAAGUUGGAGAACAAAUAUGUUGAGAGUACUUUUAGAAUUUAGAGAGUUAACUAAAUUUUUUAUUUCCAUCAUACGUAUUAUGUUGUUAAUUAUUGUGAUUUAUAGUAAUUUUACAUAAUUUUUAAAUAAUAGAUGCUACUUUUCAAUAUUAACCUAAGUAACAACAACAGACCCAAAGUAUUCCCACAAAGUGGGGUCUGGGGGUAAGAUGUACGUAGUCCAUACCGCUACCUCUGAAGAGGUAUAGAGGCUGUUUCCGAUAGACCUUCGGCUCAAGAUACAGAAUAGUAGACAUGGAGAAUAUUAACCUAAGUAUUUUCACAUUUUGCAUUUUUUUUUUCACUAUAGUUACACACCUUUUGAUCGUCCUUUGAAGUUUCAAAAGUAAAUUAAACUAUUUUUUACUGUUUAAACUCUUUUAUAAAUUUAAGAGAAUUGAUGCAGUAAAAGAUGAUUUGAGCAAUCGAUUUGAAAUAAAAGAGGUAGGGCCAAAUAACAAGGAAUUAUAGUAAUAUGAACUUAGACUACAUAAAAUAAAGACAAUUUAUCUGAAAUGAAAAUUAUUGCAUUUUGGGCUAAAAUAAUAUGUAUAAAUAACAUAAAUAUCAACCCUUUUGAAAGUAAUUACAUUGUCUUUCACUUUUUUAUUACUUUACUCUCUCUCCCUAUUAAUAUACAUAACAUAACCGACAUAUACAUAGCAUUUUGUGUAUAUGUUGAAAUUUUUGUAAUAUGUUUAGGAAGUCGAGAUUUUUUGUAAUAUUAAAAACGUAAGUUGUGUAUUUAUGUUAUUAGUAGCCCAACUAUUUCUAGCCGACUCGAUGCUCAUACUUGAAUAAACAAACAUAAACUCUCACAAUUUCUAUCAAAUUGGAAAUCAAACUACCUACCUUAACCACUAACUGAAGUCUAAUAAAAGACACUACAAAUUGCUCUUCAUCAACAAAGGCACUAUAUAUAAAAUAAUUAAGAAUUCUAAUUCAUGCUUUGUUUUUUUAAAAAAAAAAACAGAAAUUAUUUUUCAUAGUAAUCACAGAUUUGUCAACAUGGGAUUUCCUCCUUCAGAAUUUUAUUCUUUUUGUUAGGGAUGGGACAAAGAAAUUCAUUUGACUUAGCAUAUGCAUGUAAGCUUCACAUGUUAUUCCCCAAUGCCAAGCAUCUCUGCAUCUCACACAGAAAAUUCUCCAGCUAUUGAAACAUGCCCUAAUCAAAUAUCCCUUUCCGUCAUCAACCAAUUUUCCUGUGCAAUCCGCAUAAGGGAAAUCCAUAAUAUAUGGUAAAGUUGAAACUUUAGCUUCUCGAUUAGCGUUUUCUACACGAUCAAGAACAUCAUAAGACAACAAUAAUUCAAGAUCCACGGUUCUCUUACAAUUUGCAAUAGGGCACUUAACUAUAUGAAUAUCAUCAUUGACCAAGUUUAUUUACCAAACUGAUUUUGCUUAUCCAGGCUGCAGUACACAAAAUAUUUUUUGAUGAAUAUACAUUGUUAAGCUAUUUGUGUAAUUAAUUGUUUUCAAUCAAAUGUACAAGGCUUUGUGACAAGAGGAAUCUGAAUCAUGAUAAAGAUGAAAAGCACUUUGUCUCUUCUUAAAGGUACUUUAGAUUAUUGAGGUAGUCCAUUGACGACGUGUCCCUUUCUUCCUCUUAGUUUUCAUGCUGUUUUCUUGGCCUGUUUUUCCGUACUGUUGAUGACUCUAAGGAAGCUUUGUAGCAGCCUUCCAUUUCGACCUUAUGCGCUCCUAGGAGGCGGCAUGACAUGUUGAAGAACACAAAAUACUAAGCGCAGUUUUGGUAUAUAUCUAUGUGCCGAGUGCCUUCUUUCAAUCUUGACAGUGUGUCUAGUUAAACCGUAUCAUACAAAAUGAAACUGAUCGGAGUACUUGCUUGAAUCAGCGAUGUUUGUCCUUCCUUUCAAUUGCAUUUCUUUUUCCACAUUUUCUUCAAGCAGCCCCAGCUAUACCAAUGUAUUAUUACGAACUUAUUUCAAAGUUAGGUCACUGAAGAAAAGAGAAACGUUCUGGGGCUGCAUGCUUCUUGGCAUUAGAGUGCUAUCAUUGAGUAUGAAAAUGGUUUCAAUCAUUACUAGAUAGAUAUCCCCGCUUUAGCAUAUUCCAUAUGAUGUUAUCCUCCUCCGUUGCCGGGAUAGCUGAGGUUUUGAUCAUGUCCUCACAGUUUAGAUCACACCUUUGCUCUUAAAAAGGAUAUAUUGAGGCUUAUGAUGUUGGGUUAUUGAUGUUAGACAGGAACUUUGUUUACAAAGGAGGGAUUGAUGAAACAACUAGAGAUGAGGUAAACUCUUGCUGCUGAACUGUUUUCUGUGAUUUUUGAUAGCUGGACAUAGUUUUGGGACUAGUAUGUGGUUUAAUUUCAGAGAUAUGCCUAGUUUAAUCUUUUGUAUAGUUUCGUUUGUUUUGUGCAUCGCGUAUCAAAGUAGUUUUGGGACAAUUGUUGUUUACCAUCAGUAUACACAUGUACUAUUUCUUGCUCAGAUUCUUGUGUCCAGUUUUGGUGAUUAUGGAGCCAGAAGACUCAACUACAUAUCUGACUAGAUUAGUGAAGUUUGAAGGAAAAAUACUCAUAAAUGUCUGUUUUUUGGUUUCAGAAGUAGAGAGGUCACCUGAACGAUGAUUCAUACAUUGUCAUUAGAUGAUUGAAAACAAAAGGAAAUAACAACAUACCCAGUGUAAUUCCACAAGUGGGGUCUGGGGAGGAUAGUAUGUACGCAGACCUUACAUCCACCCGUCUCCGAUAGACCCUUGGCUCAAAACCAAAACCUUUUAUAAAAUUGGAUGCUGAUUACUGUUGUUGCAAGUCUAAUUUGAUCCCAUCGUUUUUGGUCUCUAUGUACUAAGAAAUUCAUUUCAUAGAGUUAUAAAAUAUUUGAUGGCAAUUCAGCAAUCCGUCUUUUAUUAUUGCACCGACUUAUGACCCAUUGCAGUAAUGAGUGCUCAAGGAGACAAGAUUAUGAAUGUGAAAGUUAAGUGCAAGCAGUCAUCACCCUUUUAAUUGUGACUUUACAAGCAAUAUCUGAGCACUUGAUAACGCUAACAUUUUCUAGUACUAUUUUUCUAGUAGUAACAUAUUUAUUAUUGAUGCAUCCUAUGCAGAAAGAAUGGAACAAUUGCCGGUCUCAAACAUUUCAUUCGCGAGUUUGUUGCGCGUACAAAUACUGCAGAAUGUUUCGGAAUAUACUGCAAUUGUGGUUGUGGACAUUAAAGCUUCUUGCAAUUGCAAUUCCUCAGCAUACAUUACAGCUUAAAUUGGAAACAGGGAUCCUAGGAUCCAAAAAUUUCUGCCUUUCCUUUUAAUUACUCCCUCUGUUCAUCUUUAUUUGUUCAAUUUGAUAAUGAGUAAGUCAAAAAUGGACAAGUAAAAGACGAACGGAGCAGCAGUGACAUUUGCCAGUGUCUCUUCUCCAUCUUAUUACAGAGUUGAUUACAUUGAGAAUAUGAGGAGUUACACAAUUCCCGAUGCUGGUUUUUUGAUAAUCUGAAAGGGCCUAGCUCAUCAAACUUUUAGGUUUCAUCAUAAUAUCGUAUUAACAGAUAGAUACUUAUUAGUUAAAUUUAUCUGAAAGAAAAUGAGGACUCAUCAAACUGCAAUAUUUGUUGAUCAAAAGAAAGUUGGUAGGAAACAUACAAGAUUUUUACUCAUGUAUAAUGUAAAAUUUUCAAUUUAUAUUAUUCGAUCCCAAGUCAAAAAUAUUAUGUCAUGCUCUUUAACAUAGCAUGACUACGGUGUUCAUGGAAAAGGGAAGGCCAAAGGCAUAGACGGGCACUUAAAGUUGUCCCGAAAAAUAUAAUGUGAAUUUUCGGAACAACUUUCAGUGUCAACCAAAAGGGAAAUAGCAAUUGCUCUUUAAGUUGGUGAAAGAUGUUCUGUUUCAAGUUGUCCAACGAAUUUUGUCAAGUGACUGUUGAAGAAUUAUAUGAAUCCAACAGCUAUUCAUGGAGUAAAUACACAUUGAACACUUCAGAUUCAUCAUUAAAAUUACAAGAUUCCAUCCUCAAAAACCAAAACAUAUAUUUCAAAAAGAACUAAAGAAAGGCGAAAACUGAGUGACGAUCGAACUGGCUAACAAACGGAGUUGAGUUUCCAAGCAGAGGUGGCAAUUAGGGGUCUUGUAUGCCAACCCAACAUCAAACAACCAUUGUUCUCUUCCACCCUAUACCCACACCCACCUGCGAAAAGAGCUAGCAACAUACUGGCUUGUUUAAAUGCAUUAGAACCUAAAUGAACCGGCUCAAAACCCGCGGUGUUAAACCGCCUUCUCCACUGAGCCAAUGUCUCGUGCCUCUCAACCCGGUCUACACCCUCACACGACACCAAAUUACAGAUUUGACGCCCUAGAUACACCUCCGACAUCAACUUAUCUUGGUCGCUCACCGGCCCUAAUUCCCCACCAACCGAGCCCCCCUCCAGCGAGUCGAAGAGGGUCGAGUAAUAAUGCAAUGACUCGGUGAACCGGUCGAUGAAAACCGGUCCGUUGUGAUUCGCUUCUUGCUCAACAACAGUGAAUAUAUCAGGUUUCAAGUCCUUCACAACUGAUAAUCCCUUCUCUAUGCCUCCAGGCCUAGCUAGCAACUGAUGCAAUUCGAAUAUGGAAUUCACUGCAACAGUUUCCCCUUCACGGAUAUCGAAUAUGGAGGCAUUAAGAUCAGCCAUAGAGUUUGCAACAAAGCCUCUAAAUUCGAAUUCAACUUUGAUUGAUUCUGCCAAUUGACCCAAUCUCCAGCCAACUUCUUGCAAAUGUUCCGCGUUAUUGCUAUUGUUAUCAUGCGAUGGCGGACCGAUUCCAGUUAACCUGAAACUCGGUGGACCACUGGGCCUCAAUGCUAAGGCUUGUAACAGAGCAGGCCAUUGCAUACCUUGUUUCAUACUGAAAUCAAUUACAUGGACUUUGGUCUUGUUCGCAAAAGCUUCAAGAAUGGCUUGAUUUGCAGUGAAAUGAGCAAAUUUAAGGUAAGGGCAAGUCUCAUAAAAGUGCAUUUCGAGGAGAUCAGUGAAAGCAAAAUCAUUAGGGUUUGACGGAGGGUACAACCUGUAAAUUUUUCUCUCCAAAGCAUAAGCAAAAUACAUAGCAACUUUCCUCAUUGCCCCAGCUUGUGAAACAGCUAAGAACGCAAUUUGCUUCAACAAAGCAUCAGCUAAUUUCAUCUCCUCUUGUUGAAUAGCUUCCGCACAUGCCAUUAACGUGUGCACGAGCCGUACACCAUUGUCUUGCGAGUCAGUCAGCACCACCGGCCGAGUUAACUCAGCCGGCCGCAAACCACCACCACCACCACCCCAGAUACAAAUACUUGAAGACGAAGACGAAGACGACGACACCUCUGUCGUACUGGGUUUGAAUCUCUUGCUCUGUGGGUUCAAUAAAGGACCAUCAAUUUGGGGGAAAACGGCUUUACCUGGAAUAGCAGUUAGAUCCGAAUCGAAAGAGGAAUCGUCAUCAUAGACCUGAGGUGGUGGUGGCGUGAGUGAAGACGGAUGGUUAUUUGGGGUAAAAGGGUGUUGUGGGUUGAGUUCAGAAAUCAUAGAUUGAAUCCAAGUAGAGAGAUCUGAAGGAUUAUAAUGAACAGUAUCAGAAGCGAGAAAAGUAAGAUUGUCUUGUUGAACAUUACCCAUAACACGUUCAAGUUGUUCAAGUUUCUGUGCAACUUCAGCCAUAUCUGAUUCCUUCACUUUGUAACCCAAAACAGCAAGCAGCUCAUCAACUCCUCCUCCAUCUUGUUCUUCUUCCUUCAUCAUCUUCCCUUUACCGGAAAAUGUUCGCUGAUCACACGGCAUCGUUUUGUCUCUCUUCAUUUUAUUUUUUUGGCAAAGGAAAAUGGGUAAAUUAGAGGAUAAGGGAGACUCAGAAAUUGAUGCUACAGCUACAUGUAUAUGGUGUGGGGUUCCUUAUUCCUUUUUUGAGGAGAGAGAGAGAGUAAUUUGUAGUAGUAUUGGAGAGAGGUAUCUGCCUGUCUCUGUGUGUGUAAUAGAAAGUGUACGAAUGGAACUCGUGAAGGAGGAAAGGGCGCUAAUAUCAAUGUGCUAAUAUCACACACCAAAGGCAAAAACCAAAAAAUAGCUAUUCAUUUAGGGCUCGUUUGGCUAGGAAUAAAUGACAACUAAUCUCAAAAUUAAUUUUAUAAAUAACUUAUUUUCACGUUUGAUUCUAAUAAAAUAUAUAAAUAAUUAAUUUCACAGUUAAAAUGUUAUUUUUACCUCAUUUGUAGUGUUAGAGUUGUGACCUGAAUUUUAUUGAUUCGCUUCAAAAAGUUUUGUGGUGCGAUGUAUGUUUAUGAUUUUUAAUGGAGUCUGCGGUGAUAGCGUAUCGGCCCGAUCCCGGAGGGAGGUAUGGACCUUUAUGUUUCUGAGACUAGGACCUAUUUUAUGGGCUGUUUCGGGUCAUUCUCGUACACAUGAAAUUGAAACUAUCGUCUCCAACACUACACUCCCUCUCCAUUAUAGUGAAUUCCUCUGCCUCUGUCCGUGAUUUUUCCCGCAAGAAUUUUCACGUAAAUCUGUGUGUUCUUGUUUUUCCUUUUGCUUGUGGUUUACUUGUUUUUGUCCGGUCAUAACAUAUAGAAUAGGAAAAUUAAUUUCCAAAUACCUAGUUUUGACAUAAUUAAUUUCAGGAUAGCUUGUUUCCUAGAUAUCAUUUAUAGUGUUAGAGUUGUGACCCGAAUUUUAUUGAUCCGUUCCAAAAAGUUUUGUGGUGUGAUUUAUAUUUAUGAUUUUUAAUGGAGUCUGUAUGAACCUUUAUGUUUUUUAGUCUAAGACUUAUUUGUACGCACGUAUUAUAUAAAUGCGAUUUAAUGGGCUGUUUCGGGUCAUUCUCAUACACACGAAAUUGAGACUAUCGUCUCCAAGAUUGUACUCCCUCUCCAUUAUAGUGAAUUCCUCUGCCUCUAUCCGUAAUUUUUCCCGCAAGAAUUUUCACGCAAAUUUGUGUGUUCUUAUUUUUCCUUUUGCUUGUGGUUUGCUUAUUUUCUGUCCGGUCAUAACAUAUAGAAUAGGAAAAUUAAUUCCCAAAUACCUAGUUUCGAUAUAAUUAAUUUCAGGAUAACUUGUUUCUUAGAUAUCGUUUGAUUGGGAUACAAGUUAUCAUAAAUUAAUUUUCUCGAAAUUAAUUGUUUCAAAAUGUAUUUGGCAUUAAUAGAAUUGGAGAGCAAACUAUUUUUUAUAUGUCUUUCGUAUAUUUAAGUUGUUAAUUAUUGUAGUUUAUAAUACUUUUAAAAUUUAGAGUUAAUUAAUUUUUUUAUUUCAAUUAUAUAUGUGAAGUUGUUAAUUAUUGUAAUUUAAAGUACUUUUACAUAAUUUUCAGAUAAUAUACGUUACUUCAAUAUUGACCUUUUAGUAUUUUUGUAUUUUGCAUUUUGUUCAUUAUACUUACAUAUUUUGAUCAACUUGAAGUUCCAAAAGUAAAUUAAGUCAUUUUCUACUGUAAGUUCCCUUUUCAACAAAAAAAAAAAAAAAUCAUUUUUUAGUGUUAAAAUUCAUUUAUAAAUUCAAGAAAAUUGAUGCAGUAAAAAAUAAUUUGAGCAAGAGAUUCUAAAUAAAAUAUGUAGGCUAAAUCUAUAAUCUAUAAUAUAUUAAAAGUGUGAAGACCCUUAGAAAAAUGAUUGGAAUUUUUUGUCCUUCAUUAAAAGUCUACGCAAUAGACAAAAUCAUCUUUUCACUUUUUUUUUCUAAUUUAUAAUUUAAUUAUCUUUAUAAAAUUGAAUCCUAAAAUAUAUGGGAUCAGGACUUUAAUAUAUGGUAAGACAUUUUUCUAAAUUAGGAGUACUAAAAAUUAAUUUUUUUAUUCGGUAGCAUUGAUAAUUACCAUAAUUAGAAUUGUAAAUAAAGUUGGUUUUAUAUGAGAUUGGCCGUGUCAUAAUAAAUCACUAUUAAUUAAACCUGACAGGAUUAUACUCUAUUAAUUCCAUCCUAUUAGCCGGGAUCUAAAGUUGAAGACCAUGUAUCCUGUGUGAACUAGGAUAUCAAACACGAUUUAUUUUUGCUAUAUAAAGAAUUUGGGUGUUUCAUAUUUAGCUUAAUGAUUUGUUUUUCAAUUUUAUUUAUAUUUUCUAACGUGAUUUAUUUAUGCUUUAUAGUUUAUAGUGAUUUGCUUUAUUGUAGCUUACUCUUCUUCUAUGUCAUUCAUAUGGUACAAUAUUGGGUUUAAAUUUAUUAAUUUAAAUAUUCUAUUCUUAAGCAUUGCAUAGAUAAAGUUGUAUGGAUUUCUUAUUUCUUACUCUUGGUUAUGCUUUUAUUGAAUUGUUUCUUAAACUUUGACAUAGCAGUUAGUCUUUUUAGUUGGAAUAUAACAAAAUGUAACCAGAAGUUUGAUAUUAGGUUAUACUUUACUGUUUAGGUUCUUUUCUUGCUAUGGAAGUAAUACAUAUUUUUUUCGUUGUGUUUUGUGUGUCCUCUUUGAAGUUAUGAUGUUUGAACUUUGAUUAAUUGAGUUAUUAAUAAAGAGUCUACUGAAAAUAACUUCUCUAUUAGAAUCACUUCAUGGGAAUACAUGUGGAAGUCCUAAUUGCAUGUUUGUACCUAAUAGUUUGAAAUUUCGAAUCAAUUAAAAUUUCAUUUUGUACAAUUUCUUUCCUAUUUCAACUAAAUAGCAUAACUAAACUAUCUAUCUAUAUAUAUAUAUUAAUCGAAAGAUUGUUAUAUAUAUUAAACAUAUAUUCAUGUUUACAUGCAGAGGAAUUUGAAAGAGAAACUAGGGAGAGAUGAUAAGUGUAUUUCUAACAAUGGAAAGGAGGUAUGUGAAUUCCUUAAAUCAACUACAUUACUAUUAGUUACACUCUAAAUUUAUUUUUUUUAUUCUAAGAUGAGAAUAUCAUUAUCAGGACUUUGGUAGAUAUUCCCAAAGAUUGUUGAUCUUGAUCAACCAAAUGAUAUUUAGUGACAAGAAGCAAAAGGUUAAAUUCACCUUUGAGCUUAUUUUAGAUUGGGUUUUGUAAAUUAAAUCAACAAUGAUGGAGAAUUUAUAGUUUCUUAAAGGAUAUCGUAAUCCUUUAUAUGUGUACUUGGUGUCUAUUACUCUCAAUUUUAAUAUUAUUCGUCUUACUUUGUAGCCAAAUUAUGUGUAGACAAAAAUAAAAUUCAUAAAUUUUUUUGAUUUGCGAUAUUUUCCUUUUAUUCAAUCAUUAAAUUUCAUGUUAUAUUUUUUCACUUCUACUGUCUUUCUCUCCUUUUAGUUGUUUAAGUCAGUAACUUUUUUUUUACUUAUUAUAUUGAUAUUAUUAGUUAUUUAAAUUCGCACUUAUAUCAAUUUGUAAUAAUGUACUCUAACUAAAUAAUUUUUUUGUACCAAUUAUUCUUUCAUUUGACGAUUGGUUAAAUUUUGUUCGAGUUCCACGGACUAUUAUAUUGCAAUACAUAUAAGAUAUCAUUCUUUACAGGUAAUUAAGUAUUUUUUGUACUAAUUAUAUUUUUGUUUGAUGACGGGAGUUUUGAUUUCACCACUAUAUUGCAUCACGGGUAAGAUAUCAUUCUUCUAUGGGUAGUGUGUAAAAAUCAAACCAAUCGAUAAAUCGAGCUAAAAAAUGUUAUUGCUUUAUUGUUACUGGAUUUUUAGGUCAACAAUUUUUCAAUGAUUUUAUAAAAAAAUUAUCGGGUUAUCAUUCUAUUUUGUUGACAUAUUUUUUCCUAAUAUUAUUAGUGCCUUCGCAGAGCACAGUUGACAUUUUAUGAGUAUUGUCUUAUUGGUUAAAUUGAAAAUCGAAUUGUUACAAACCAAAAUAAAUAAAUCAAAAUCAAUAAAAGUAUAUCUUAUUGAUUUGGUUAUUGAUUAAUUAGUAUAUUUAAAAAUUAAAAGUCGAUAAAUUGAACCAAUAAUACAUAAAUUCAAACCAAAUUGACUGAUGCAUACCUCUAUCUACGGAUAAUUUGACUUUUUUUUGUCACAUAAAUUAUUUAUUAAUUAUUGUAAAGGACUACAAAAUCAAAUCUCUCCAAAAAAAAAAAUAGUACUCAAAAUUUGUUUAAAGAUAAUUAGUUAAAAAUAAUAGUCAAAUUUCUCUUCUCCUAUGUGUUUCACAUGAAAAAUUAUAUAUUGCAAUGUCUCACACGGAUAUAUUUAUGUUGCACUUUAAAGAAGAUUAUCAUAUAAAUAACAUUUUUUAUAUUAUUAAACAGUCAAAGUGACGGAAAGGAACUUAAAUUAACAACUUAUUUGUAAAAAAAGUCAUGUGAGAUACCACAAAUAUAAUAUUUGUUUAAAUUAUUAAAUUAGUAUAAUAUUUUUAACGUCAAUGGUUACUUUUAAUAAUUUUAUUCUUUUUAUAUAUAGUUUUGUUGAUUGAUGUGAGACAAACGUGCAAAGCACAUACACUUAACUAGUAAUAAGAAAUGCUAGUAACAUGAACUUGGACUACAUGAAAUAAUUUUUCUGAACUUGAGCUAAACUAUAUUGGACUAUACGGCCUCCAACAUUAGGAGCCCAACUAUUUCUAGUCCGACUCGACAACUCAUACUUGACUAAACUACAAACAUAAACUAUCACAGUUUCUAUCAAAAUGGAGAUUAAACUACCUAUCUUAACCACUAAUUAAAGUCUAAUAAAAAAACACUACAAAUUGCUCUUCACCAAUAAAAGACACUCACUGCAUUCCUGGUUUGUUUUUUUUUUUUAAAAAAAAAAAACUUAACCUUUUUUAUAGUAACACGGUUUUGUUAGUAUGAGAUUUUCUCUAUCGAAAUUUUAUUCUUCUUGUUGGGGAUGUUGAACAACAAAUCCUUCAAAUCGUCGGACAAUAAAAUUCAUUUGACUUGAUAUAUGAUCAUAAGCUUCACAUGUUAUUCCCCAAUGCCAAGUAUCUCUGCAUCUCGCACAGAAAAUCCUCCAGCAAUUGGGACAUGCCCUAAUCAAAUAUCCCUUACCAUCAUCAAUCAAUAUUCCCGAGCAAUAUUCAUAAGGGUAAUCCAUAAUAUAGGGUGAAGUCAAAACUUUAGCUUCUCGAUUAGCAUUUACAACACGAUCAAAAACAACAUAAGGCAACAAAAAUUCAAGAUCCAUGGCUCCCUUACAAUUUGCAAUAGGGCACUUAACUUCGUAAAUAUUAUCGUUGAUUUUUUUAGCAAUGUGCUUCUGUAUACAUUCUUCGUAGUAUAAAUGUGGGUAAUCGAUGCCCCGAAUCAUCGUGUUCGAAGGAAACACAUCUUCACAUAUGUCGCAGUACAUACAUGAGGAUUCCCCCUCUUCUCGAAUACUGUUUAAUUUUUCAAUCGAUCCAUAAAUAAAAGAAUAAUGCAGUUCAAUAAUUUUCUUACCCGCAACAUUGCUAGAACUUGAUUCCAAGCUCCUGACUGAGUGAAAUUGCGCAGUAUGAAAAAGAAUUUGCUGUAACUGUAUAUCGUCAUCGUCGUCCUUAACAUCGUCCUCAUUUUCAUUAAUAUCAAAACUCAGCUGACUAUCAGUUUCUUCAUCGUGAUUGAAGAUCUGAACAUCUCUUGAAUUCAUUUUGAUUUUGUGUCUUCUUUAAUGUCUGCAACAAAAAUUAAAUCUUUUUGAAGCCGAAUCAAUUUUGAUUGGGGUGCAAGAAUUUUGAGAUGAUGUAACACUUAAUUGAAUCGACAACAGAACCGUCUUGAGAACUCCGCCAUAAAUAUGUAAGGAUUGCUAUUUUUAUUUCCAAAUAUGCAUUUAAGUUGAAUUAAUACUGUUGUAGACAAUAGAUAAGUCAACAAUAAAUUUAGACUAUGUCACGUGUAGUAAGUGACUGACAUCUCCAGUCAAAUUAAAAAAUAACGAGCAUGUUUCUUGUGCCUUACUGUAGCAUGUUCCGACCAAUAAAGUAUCGCCACAUCAACUUCAAUCUAAACGGUCCAAAAAAUUAUCUUCGGUACAACUCUUCCACCUCAACAUAUCUGACAUGUACCCUCCAUUAAAGUAUCGCCAAGUCAAGCUCAACAUGAAUGGUCAAAAAAAUGCUUGUCAUCAUCACAAUCUGUCAUCUCAACAAGAGUGAUAUGUUUCAGUCAAUAAAAUAUAGCUUGGUCAAUUGAUUUAAGGAAAAAAUUCAUAAAAGCACAACUUUAGUUUUAAAAUUACUAAAAAUACCUUCAGUUUGAAAAACUAUAAAUAUUCCAACUUUUAUUAAUUUAGGUUAAAAAUUGAGAUACAUCCUAAAAUACUUUUUUUAGAAAAAAAUUUUAAUGUUACCAGCUCUUCCUACAUUAAUGACUACAUUAACGCGAAAUUUUGAUCACGAUUUUAUCCCAAAAUUUUCUCUUCUUCUUCUUCACAUUUUUUAAUUAAGAUAUUUUUUCCCCUAAAUUCAUCUUCACUUUCUUCUUAUUAUGCUCAAUGGUUUUUCUCAAAAAUCAAAUUAAACAACAUUAUAUUCCUUUAGCUCACCUGAUUGAUUGUUUGGAGUUUCGUGUUAAAAAUGAUGAUGUUUUUGAUACUCGAGUUAUGGGUAAAGUUACUAUUUCGACGAAGAAAAUUACCUCCGAUGAGGUUAUUUUUGGAUGAUUUUUUGUUAUCGGUACUUCAAGUAAACCUUCUAAUCCAAUAAUAUUUUGCUGAUCGAAAUAAAAAUCAAUUGAACCCCCCUACAAAAGAUGAUACAGUGACCAACAGAUUUAAAGUCAUUCAUCUUUCCGAGGAAGAAAAAAUUCAACUACAUUCACCUUGAAAAUAAACCAUCAAAUUACUGGGAAAAAAAUUAUGCAUCAUUAUCUCAAAAUAAAAUUUCAAUAUCUAUGGAGACCUUCAGAGCAAUUUCUUGUAUAUGUUAUUUUCAAUUUUGUUGUUAUAUGUAUCUCUUGUUUUUAAAGUUUUAGUGAAAUAGAUAUAUUUAAGAUACAUGUCAGUAAGUUUAAAGAUAUAUAUUGUGUAUGAGUUUAUUCUGUACGUAUCACACACUAUUUUUUAUGUUGAUUCAAAUAUUUAUACAAAAAAUACUUGAUUCAAAUAUUUAUACAAAAAAUACAUAUUCUGUAAAACAACAGAUACAUUUAAGCUUUUUGUAUUUUCUGAUUUUGUGUUAUUGUGAAUUUACGUAUCUGUUGUUAUUUCAGAUCUGGGUAAUUUCUAGCUUAGAUACAUAGUUACACAUACAUGACACUUUUUUCAAUAUCUUGUAUCUAGUGUUAUCUGUUUAACUCUUGUUUUUAAGUUUUAGUGAAAUCAGCAUACUAUAGAUAUAUGUUAGUAAUCUUAAAGAUACAUAUAGUGUAUGAGGGGUAUAUUAUAUGUAUCUAGCUUUAUUUUGUUUUUUUCAAAUCAAUUAUUUUUUAAAAAAAUUUAAUUUUUUAGCCCUCGCACGUUCUAUCGUUAAUCCAAACGUAAGAAUGACGUAACAAUACUUAAAUAUUCAUUUCAAUUACUUCAAACAAAAUCAAGAAAAAACAGUAAAAUUGUCGUAGGAAUCGUUUAUAAGUGGAAUCGAAAUAUGGAAGAAAUUUUAUUUUAAAAUAGGAAAUAAGAAACAAAUUACCUAUUCGUGGAAAUUUAUUCAAUUUUUACCAUUAUUAGUUAGGUUAUUUGCUAAAUUAAAAAAAAAAAUUAGCCAUUACAUCCCUUAAAUUAUGUUAAUUAGUUUAAUUAUUAAAUGUAUCUGUAGGGUGUAUCUUAUGUUAGUUAUAUGUAUCUUCAACGACAAUAUGUUAAAAAAUUAAUAUGUACUUUAUUGUACAAAAAAAACUGACGGGAGAUACAUAUAUAUACUAUCAUGCACAAUAUAUAUAUAUAUUUAACACUACUAAUAUGUAUCUUUGGAAUGUUGAUAUCACUAAAACUAAAAUAUCAAGAGAUACAUAUAUAUAAACAACUCGAACCAGAGAUACAAGAUGAAAAAAAAAUGUAUCUAAUUAGAUCAAAUAUGUAUCUCGGCCUACUACAAAUAACAAAAAUAAAAUUACGUAAAAUAACAAUCAAUUUUAUGUUAAAUGCACAAUUAAAUAAUCAAGAGACAAAUAACUACUUUUGAGACUCUAAACAAGAUACAAAAAAAAAAUUGUGGAUCAUUUCGCAUAGAAAUUGAAGGAAUGCUCAAUGGCAUACCAUGUCAUAACUGAAACAAGAGUACACUCGUCCACCCUGAAAACGAUUACAUCGCUCUUAUGGCCCUCACACUUUAUAUUGUUAAUCCAAACACCGGAAUGACAUAAUAACACUGAAAUAUUCAUUGCAAUUACCUCAAACAAAGUCAAGAAAACAAAAAAAAUAAUAAUUUAUGAGUCGUUCUUGAUGGAAAUUGAUAAUGGAAGAGAUUUUGUUUAAAAAUAUGGAAUAAGAAGCAAAUUACUUGUUUAUGUGAAAUUUUAUUGAGCCUUUACCAUUAUUAGUUAGGUUAAGUGCUAUAUUAAUGAAAAUUUAGCCGCAACAUUCCUUGAUUUAAGCAACUUAGUUUACUAACUACAUGUAUCGGUAGGAUGUAUCUAACAUUACCUAAAAUAUAUCUUCAACGGCUAAAAAAGUAGGAUUUUAUGAAAUUUAAUAAAAAAUUGAGACUUUACGAAAUUAAUGAUAAACUUGUCGGGAUAUAGGUAAAAUUUACUUGAUUUAAAUGGUCAAUAAAAGUUUGUCCUUGUUUUCAUCUCAACACGAGUGACAUGUUUCAACCAAUUAAAUAUCACUAUAUCAACUUUAAUUUAAUUGGUCAAUUAAAGUUUGUCCUCAUCAAUAUUUUUUGUAUCUAAUCAUAGACAUGUUCUAGCAAAUCAAAUGUCGUCAUGUCAACUUCAAUUUGAUUGAUUGAAAAGAGUUUGUCGUCGUCACAACUCUUUCAUUCAUGAAGACAUAUUUCAACCAAUCAAAUAUUGAUAUGUCAACUUCAACUUGAUUAAUUGAAAAAGAUAGUCCCCGUCAUAAUUCUUUCACCCAAUACAAGAAACAUGUUUCAAUCAUUCAAAUAUCUUCAUGUCAACUUCAAUUUGAUUGGCCUAAAAGAUUUUGUCGCCGAUCGUCACGACACUUAUAUUUUAUCCUAGCAUAAGUGACAUAUUUUAACCAAUCGAAUAGUAGCAAAUCAGCUAGAAUCUAAUUAGUAAAUAAAUUAUGCACGUCAUAUCUCUUCAUCGCAACACAAUAGACAUGAUCUGACUAAUAAAAGUAUAGCCAUGUUAACUGCAAUUUGAAUGAAAACAGUUGGUCAUUACCAUAACUAUUUUAUACCACAACUGCAAAUAAAGGUUCUCAUAAUGAAUAAAAAACAUCAAAAACAAUAGCAAAGACAGAUUUUGAGUUUGUGAAACAAAUGCUAUUAAUUCUUAACGAAGAUCAUGAAGGGUAAAUUUAAGAACAAGGCGUUUAAGAUCAUAUUUAGUUGAGGCAAAUCAAAUGCCAAGAGACUCAAGAUCAAAAUUAAUUGUCUGUGAGAUGCAUAUUGUUUGUGACGGUCAUUAAGGUGUUCAGAAUGAAUUAAAUUCAGAUAAUAAUCAAAUUCAAGGAACAUAAAUUUAUGAUUCAACUCAAAAGAUUCAUGAAUUUAUUUUAAAAAGAAAAAUAACUAAGAGAAUAUAGAGAAAUGGUUACAAUAACUGUACCAGAAAUUAAAUACAAUAAUUAAUGCACUUUUUUGUCUUGAUUAUCAUUUUUCAGAUGCAAAUUAUUUUAUCUACGAUAUUGUCAUUUUUAUUCCUUUUUCGCCAAGUAAUAUAAACCUCAUUGUUUCUCAUUUAUUUUCUACUACCUUCCUUCAUCUCUACCUUUUCGCUUUUCUAUUUUGAAAUGUCAAACAAUAAUUAUCCAAUUUAUAAAACUAAUGAAUAGUUUACCUAUUUUUAUCUAUUUUAACCAUGAUAUUAACUACAAUACAUCACCCAUUGAAUUUUAAAAAGUAAAAAUUAUUUAUUUUCAAAGGGUUAGACAGCAAAACCACUUCUCAAUUUAUUAUUUUUAAGGUAUAUACCAAGUCAAAAGUGCACGAAGAGAGUAUUUAAUUUAGUUAACUAUAACGUGAAACGUCUUCAACCAACAAUGAUUUAACUCAUAAAAAAUAUACAUCUUCGAUAACAGUACAUGUAGCCAAAAAAAAAAAACUAAUAAAAUGAACACAUUUAUAUGUAAUGUGUCUAUACUAUAUAAAUAGUUUAUUAACUGUGUAUAUAUGAUCUAUAACUAUAUAUGAAUCAAAAAUUUAUAUAAAUCUAUAUGAUUUUUAUACAACAUUUAUACAUAUUUCACCCGUUAAUGUAAAAUCUAUAUGGGUCAAUUGAAAUUCUUGACAAAAGCGAACUCCCAAAUUAAGCUAUCCUUAGUUUCAACUUAGAUUUUUCCAAAAAAUAAGCUCUUUUGUAGAAUCUAUUUAACGAAUUCCCAACAACUACACAAAAAACCUGUCAAGUUUUCAUUAUUAUUUUGCGUAACUCAUUAAUUUUUACCAAUGCACAUGACAUUUUUAAGAAAAUAAAUAUCUAAAAACAUAGUGAUAGAUCUUACAAAACUUAAAUUUUAAAACAAAAGAUUUUAAAUUUUUUACUAUAUUAAGCUCCGAGUCAAAUAAAAACCAUUCAAGCACGUUGAAUUCACAAGUCUUCUUUCCUUCCAUAUCCAAGGUAGAAUCGAAAAACAAAAUGGAAGACAAGUAGAACAGUAACUAAACUAUCACGUCUUACAACAACAAAAGAAAAGACACAUACUGAGGAAUAGAAAAUAAACACAAAAAAUGAGAACAAAAUAUGUCUUUAGCUGCAGAUUUCCAAGUAAAGAAAAUUCAUUACAGACCUCACGAAUAGUCAUUAUAACUAGAGAAAAGAAAGGACAAACUUUUAAUAAGCAAAUAAUCUCUAAAAGGAAUAAUAAUAUUAUUCUGAAUUUAAUUGCAAUACUUGAAGCGUUGUUAAUAGAAUGUAAGCAAUCAUCGAAAGCAUAACUAUGCAUGGAGGAAGACCUGGAGGAAAGUGGUGCUUUUAAGUUGGAGAACAAAUAUGCUGAGAGCUGUGAUCCAUUCCACAUCAAUAGCAGAACUCAUAGCCACACCUGCAAGAGAUUCAAAACUUUCGUAAGUACACAUACGACUCCCUUCAUGUUCUUUCAAUAUUACUCCCAUCACAAUAUAAAGUACUAAUAAAAUUAAUAUAGAAAAAUAAGAGAAGUGUUG
rnacentral:lncRNA from 1 species